CUCUGCUUCGCUUGACUUCGGCCGCUCCUCAUUUCCCCUGUGUUGAUCUGCGAGCUAUGUGUCCCCCUCCUCAUCCUCCAUCCAUGGUUGGUUUUGUAAGUAUCAUUUCCCCCCUUUGUUCCUCCCCUUGUUUUUCCUGUUUGAUUUUUUCUAGAUCCGGUGAAUCCUGUAUGUUCCCCUGUGUAGUUGUGAUUCCAAGAUGUUUUGAACGUUGCAGGUGUGUGGUUUGAUAUAUGUAGUGGUGGAUCCUUCCUGUAUAUUUUUGAUUUUUUGUGCUUCCAGAUUGAGCUCUAGUUGUCACUGUGACGAGUAGCUCCUAGUUGCGUUCAAUUUCUUUAGUGGAUCCAUCUUGAAGUUGUCGCUGGACCUUCCUAGUUGCACUACACAAAAAAUACACUUCCGUGAUGAUACGUGUUUGUCACAGUAGGUCGCAUUUUCUGUCAUGUAUGUACAUCCAUGACGAUUUUAUGACGGAAUCAAGAUAGUCAUACCUGUGCUGUCGUAGAAGUAUUCCAUGACAUUACCAAAAUUAUCAUCACGGAAGUGUCCACUUCCAUGACGAUAAAUCCCGCAUCACAGAAGUGCUUUCAUCAAGGGUGACCGACACGUGGCAUCCACCGUAACGGAAUGCCGUUAAGCUAUCGGGUCGGGUUUUGGAUCCGAUAACCCGUUAACAGCCCCGACCAAUGGGGAUUUUCCACGUGUAAAAUCAUCAUUGGCUGGAGGAAACACGUGUCGGCUCAUCGUUGGGACAGAUGUCGUCCACUAAUUGGACAGAAGGCGCCUAUGAUACGUCGACAUGUGGCACGGCCCAACAGAGGCCCAUUCCUAUGAAAAGGCCGGCCCGUUUGACUUGGUCAAAAGGUGGCGGGCCGACCCAUGUAAAGCAUGUUAACGGCAUGUUCGCAUAUAGCCCAUUUACAACCCGCUAACCCAAGGCCCGUUAUGCCCUAUCCGAAUUAGGCCCAGUAGCGUCAUCUGGGCCACCCAAUAUGAUUCCAGCCCGUUUUCACUUCUGGCCCAUGUAUGACCCAUGACGUCUUUCGGCCCAUAUGAGGCCCUAUGUAACUCUUGGCCUAUUAACGGCCCGUGGUGAAACUGGCCCGUAAUGAACAGUGUAUCACUUUACACCCAUUAACGGCCCGUGGUGAAAUUGGCCCGUAAUGAACAAUGUAUCACUUUAUAUACCCAUUAACGGCCCAUUAUUCCGUUGGGCCGUUUCCAGCCCAUGUUAUCUUUCGGCCUUCUCAGAGCCCAUUUAUUCGUGGGCUCAUUUCCAGCAUUCGUUUACUUACGGCCCGUUACUGUCAUUUUCUGCUUGUGGGCCAAAUUCAGCCCGUGGUUACAGUCGGCCCGUUUGUGGUCCGUUAAUAUGUUGGGCUGUUUUCAUAGCGUCAUUAAAUACGACCUAUUAACGAUGGCCCGUUAUGGUCGGCCCAUGAACGGACGAUUCCAACUCUAGCCCGUUUACGGCCAUAAUGUGGCCUGUUAUUGGCUCAUGUUUGGCCAAUCGAUCAUACUGCCCGUAUAAGGCCCAUUGAUGAUACGACCCGUAGAAGGCCCAUUGUUUCUACGGCCCCUAGAAGGCCCAUUGUUUCUACGGCCCGUAGAAGGCCCACUGUUUCUACGGCCCGUAGGAGGCCCAGCGUCACUACAUUAAAUAUUAGCCCAUGGUUAUUGUGGCCUAGUUUUAAAAAAUAGGUUAUUGCAGCCACUAGCAAACCGCGGAAAAAGAACUGUAAUGACUACAAGCAAACAAAUAAACAAGACAACAAGGAAAUAAAUAAGAAAGCAACUUAUGCUAGGCUAUCACGGCUAUCACACAUAUUACAUCCACUGGGCAUCAAAGUUCGCCACCAGUGCAAAUAAACGCGCCGACAAAAGAAUAUACAAAACUGAGAGCACUUCAGAAGGCACUAGGCCUGGCCAGGUCAGCCCCCCCUCCCAAAUAGCUGAAGAAGCUGAGUAGACCUCAGUUGUGUCAACGAUAGAUGCAUCAACACUAGAUUUAAGGCAUGAUGGUGCGCACAACAGUCCUCUGACAUCUUCAUUGCAUCUUUGACUUCAAGUCGGAGCUAAGCUGAAGCAAGCCUUCCCGCUUUCAGUUGAGACUGAAGAAGUCAAACUGAUUGAGGCAGCGACUACACAGAGGUUGUCCCACACCUGCUGGUGAGUAGCUUCAACUCACUGUCUUCAUCAAGACAGGACCUUGGGGUCAUCUCGCUGUCCUCAAGAUGGUUUGGCUCACUAUCUUCCCUAAAGUUAUGCCUGGUGUAAGAGACACGAGUCUGAAAGAGAAACACGGAGACACGUAACAGGUUUCACAAUUUUAUAAGCAAAUAAAUGGAUCUGUUCUGCAUAAGGAACAUGUUUUUACAACUACAAUUUGAAACAGGUAGUUGUUGCAAACAUCCAAUCAGAUGUAAACAUCAAAGCAAACAGCAGUGGAGAAAAUGAUGCCUAUCCAAAUCUAUACUAGAACAAAGUUUAAAGGCUUGAGAAGGAUGAACUUACAUUACAUGUUAACACGGGCUGGACAAAGACCUUCUCCAUGUUGAUGGAAGGAUAAUUCAAUAAAUUCCCCAAAGAAAAUUCUUUAUAAGCGUUGCCAUUAUUCUACAUUUUGCAAAGAGUAAAUAUAGAUCAAAUAAUAUUGGAAGAAACAGAGGAUAAUGAAGCUCAAGUGCAGACUGAUGAUACAUAAUCAAAUAGCAAUUAAUUAAGUACAACAUUACAAGGCAAAAGGGAGAGAGUUACUCACAAGAGCAAUGGAGAGCCCAUUAUUGUUUUGAGAUCGUAUGAUCCUUUGAGCAAGGAGAUUCAUCUGAAAUUAGUUUUCAUACAAGAGAGAAGGUAAGGCACAAGCAGAAAUUUAGGAGUUCAAAUUUUGAAUUGAUAUCAUAGACAGUACCUGACGCUGGGCUCCCAGCAGUUCUAAUAGGUGUUUGGCCACUAGAGUAGGGGUAAAGUGUGGUACAGUUGGGCCUGUGUUUUCUGUGGCUGCUGAUCUAUCGGAUUUAACAGGUAUCACUACCUUUUCCAAAUACCUAGUUUGUACUCCUUGAGGAUCUGCACUCACCCUCUUCGUUUUGGACAUCUAUUAUGAAAGAACAACAUUUGACUGGAAAAACAUAGUGUGACGACACAUGGAAUAGGUACAGAAAAUGGACAGGUAUGGCAUAUACUCAUAUAUGAUGCUUAAACUAAGCAUAUGGUGUAACAAAGUAGAAGUAGUGCAAGAGGUCAGAUGCAAAAUAUGUGCAACCAAUAUAACUUUGCAAAGUUAGAGCAAGCACCUUGAUGGGUGAAUAAGAUAGGCCAUCCUCCAUCAUGCCAAGUUUGUUAGCCAGUGGAUCGUUCCGCAAUAUUCCUCUCGUGCGCCCAUUCUCAUAUUCAUUUUGAUAAUGUUCAAUAUCUGACAUGCAUGAAAACAUAAAAACAAGUGAGAUUUUCUUUGUAAUGUAGAAGUGAUUCUAAUCCAAUACUGCCUCCCUGUAAACCCCUUUGUGCUAUCUCUGCAAUUCUUUUAAAAGAUGCCAUGCAUGCUGUAAUUUGUUGUGUGCAUUAAUAUAAUGUGGCCUACUACUCAAAAUAUGAGAGCUGCAGAAGUGAUGACACUUCACAGAUGAUAGCUUCAACAUAUAGUAAAGAAGAACAAGUCGACCUGACCUGACAGAUUCAAAAUAUACUAAGGGAGAACAACUCGACCUGACUAGUCGACCGCAAGAGAAGAGUAUCAUCUUAAAGAAGAGCAGAAGAGCAAGCAGAUUGAAGAUAUUACAAGUCUUUCAAUACAAUGUCGGUUGUCCACCCAUGAUGAACCAGAGUGCACAGAGAAAUACUAUUCUUUCCGGUCUCUCCAUACGUGGCUCACAUGCAUUUCGAAACUAAAGUAGGAACAUUUAGCUAACCAAUUAAACAUCUCUUAGUUUUACUAAUAUCAGCAAUACUAUCAGAUAUGAAUUUGUACAAUUAAGCUUGUUUAGCUCGAUGGGUGGAGCAGUGCUAUUACGACACGAACCACGUAGGCUGAUUGUGGUCAUCAUAAAAUGGGGAAAACAUAAGCAUGAUGAGUACAAUGUUGACCGUGGCAGUGGGAUGGCAGAUCUGAAGCUGCAAACCGUGCAAAGGGUAGUUAGAAACCGAUGUUUGCUUUGAAAUAACAACUAAGAUUUGGUAUGGACAAGAAAGUACGGUCAACAAGUGACAAACAAAUGCAAUUAUGUUGUCUCUCUAUAUGUCGCGGCAUGCAUUUGGAAACUCAAGUGGGACCUUUAGCUAACCAACUAAAUGUGUCGGUUAACUAAUAUCAGUAUCAUAUCACAAUCAUAUUUGAACAACUAAGCUUUUGAAUUCUGAGUGUUGUGUUGUUUAGCUUGAAGGGUGGAGUAAUGCUAGUACAACAGAAAGCACCUACGCAGAUCAUAGUAGAGUACUCCCUCCGUUCCGAAUUACUUGUCGCAGAAAUGGAUGUAUCUAGACGUAUUUUAGUUCUACAUACAUCCAUUUCCGAGACAAGUAAUUCCGAACGGAGGGAGUAGAUAAAAGGGGAAAACCCUUAGCAUCAAGAGAAAAAUCAGGAAAGUGGAACUAGCUGGACCAGUGGGUGGCGCACAUGCUCUUUGAAACGAAUAUAGGAACAUUAGGUGACCAAUUAAACAUUCUCUGUUUUAGUGAUAUGAGCAUCAUAUCAGAUUCGUAUUUCAACACGUAAGCUUUGGGUUAAGGUCUUGAGGAGCAGUGCUAGCUCAACACGAAGCACCUACGAUGAUGGUAGUGAAUAUAAAGGGGGGAAACCAUAAGCUUUACGAGUAUAGUGCCCAUGCCAUGGCGGAUCUGAAGGUGCAAACCAGAUAAAGCUACUUCGCAACCAAUGUUUGCUUUCAACUAGCCACUACGAUUUGGUAUGGACAAGAAAAGUACAGUAAACAAAUUACGAUCUAUUUUCCGAGUGAGAUCAAUAACUUAAGCACAUAUGGAAGAGUACCACCUCUCUUGCGACGCCGUGUAGGCCUAUGCUGAUAUGUUGAGGGUGUUGCGGGUGUGAUGGCUGUCAGCGGCAGGGAAGAAUACUUUAGAUAGUAGACGGCCGGGUCACGGGAUAUAUCCUGUUGCCAUGGAUGAGGCGGUUGUAGGAGCGGCAACGACAAGGUGGACGACGGCGCCGAUGAAGGGAGAGGAGGCGAUGAAAGGAUCCUGGUCCAGCGCCGUGGAUGAGAGACGUCCAUCUCUUGCAGUGGAUGACGGGGUAGGGGUAGCGGCUCCGGGAAGGUGGAGGAUGGGGUGGCGGACGGAGGAGGCUGGCCGCAAUGCGGAGGUUGCCGUGCCGCCGACGGUGUAUGAAUGGGGAAAUGGAGGGGAGGGGGGAUCUCAAACUUUGGGAUGCGCUUCUCUGAAAUGGGGGAAAGUUACGAACUUAUCCCCUAUUUAAAAUUUUGAACAUCGCGUCGGUUGGGGAUAGGACGGCAAUCUCGCAUCUCCCAAAUAUUUGCCAGUAACUAUUUCGGGCGAGGAGAGGGUGUUUUGCCGCCCAAGGUUGGCGCCCAUGGUGUAUGAACGGGGCUGACAGGUAGGGCGGUUGUGUCACGUCUGAUGGAAGUUACACAUUUUCCCCUAUUUAAAAUAUUAGCCUACAUCAAUUUCGAACGAGGAGAGUUUGUUUUGCCGCCCACCGUGUAUGAAUGGGGAAAUGGAGGAAGAGACACAUGUCUUUCGGACGAGCUUGAAUCAAAUGUGUUUUGCCGCCCACGUUUGGCGCCCACCGUGUCUGAAUGGGCUCAGAGGCCGUCGUGUCACGUUUGAUUGAAGUUACAAGUCUACCCCUAUCGACAACAGUGUAAAUCCGGUCGAUAAUGAUGUGAAGUGUCAGGGGUAGACAGUAAUUUCCAUCUCGCAAACACUUGCUUCGGGCAGCCCACAAAUUAUAGUGGGUGUUUAGCCGCUUCGUUCAAAACUUGGGAGAAUUAGCAUUCACGUUUGCCCUGGGACGUGGCAAACUAAAUUCUAAUCCAAUUUGUAUUCGAUUACGAAUAUCCACAGAUAAUUAUACGUUUUGUUAUUUAUUUUUUCAAAACCACAACAAAGAUUUAUUCCACCUUUAUAUAUGAUUAUGAUUUAGAAAUGUCGUGAUCUUCGAAUUCAGUAGGUUGGAUACACUCUGAGUCAAAGAGUUAUUUCAUCCAAUACAAUAUGCUCACACGAAAAAUAGUUCACCUUAUGUCAAUCAUACAAGUACUGAGGAUUACCUCGCCUAAAAAAUUCGGAUCAUUACAACACAUGGACAAUAUAGGGGGUCUUGCAACAUAAUCCAUUCAGAGACAUGACACAACAUGCAAGUACAAUAAUCUAAUGACAAUUUCAACUGGUAUCUAAAGAACAACCGGGAUUACCUUGGGCUUCAGAUAGCAGAAACAGCAGGACCUCCUCUGUCUUCAAAUGCAACAUUCUUACUUCCUCCAAUUCUUGGGUUGCUUGCAUAAUGUGUGCCACUAAUUCCGUAAUUUCCAGCCUCAAGAUAAAGAUUACCUCAUUCAUGGUAGCCACACCAUCUCUUUCUGCCUCUAGUAGAGCCUCAAGCACUAUAAUAUCUAUGCUCAGACUGCUCUCCGGCGGUGUUGCCUCUGAACUGCUACCAUCUAGUAACAUGGGUGGCGCAUUGCUUCCACAAAUAGAUUCUGGGGUUGUACAUUGUGUCCUAGUGUGAACGGCAUCCUGAAAGGUUUCCACUGGACAUCAGUAAGAGAUAGUUAUUGUAUGAUCCAGGCAGUAAGCUUACAUGGUAAACGACGGACGAAUUAUUGCUGAGCAUGGCAAACUAUAUUUAAAUGGUUCGAUGCAGCAUCAUCCGAAAAGAAAUUAAAAUGGUAAGAUGAAACUAGGGAUGUAAGUGGCAAAUAAACGACAUCCGCCAGUCCCAUCUAGUUAGUUUUUGCUACCUCCCUAGUUCAUUUUCCUCAAAAAACAAAAACUCUUUUGAACUAUCAUACCACUAGUGGACUUUAAUCAGGAUUAAACGGGACCCAGUUGACAUCCCUAGUUGAAAGGGAGUGUACAACUGCUAUAUUUAAGUUGCCAAGGCAUCUAAGCAGUUGAAAUAAUCUGAGAAAGCACUUAACAGUGUGGCCUGAUAUAAACUGCGAAGACAGUCUUGUGAUGAAGUUGAGAGGAAAAGUUAAGGACUCAAAUGAAAUAGGCAUGCAUUUCUUUAUGAUAGUACAGCAGGCACUGCUGACAUAUUGGCCAACUCAGGUAUAGCGUAACAACAAAUAAGCAUUCAAAUCAAGCAAUAUAGCAAAGCAGACAACUGAACUAUUUGUAAUUCGGUAGGAUUACACAUUGAGGGCACAAGCCAAGAAAGCACCCACUCGCAUUACAUUUCACAUGUACUAAAACACACUGGCUUACCAUAUGUUGCUGUGAAGCCUAGCUGCUGUUGCAAUGUUCUUUGAAGAUAUCGUCAGCAUCCCGUGGUUGCAAAUCUAGUUGUUGUAGUUUAUUUUGCACCAUCUAUUUAGGUAAAAUUAAUUUUAAUCGCAUGCACUGGUCCAAAUUGAUCAUCAAUGGUUCAUCUAAACUAAUGAAAGAAGGGUGUGUGCAUACACAACAAUAUAUCUGCUUCCCUCUAUCUUUAUGCUUGUUCGAGGUGCCAGCCCCAAAAGAACAAAUAUUUUGCUUGAUGGGGUUGGCAGCUCCAUAAUUAAUAGAAGCAUCUGAUUAGUCAUGCAACUUGGGAAGAUCAAGAAUACACAAACAAGUAAUGAACAGAGGCUCGGAGCAGUGAUGUAAUAGCUAGCAUCAGAAAAUGUAGGGUAAAACGAACAAAAAGCAGCGGAACCACAUGCUAGUUUGCUGAUGUGUAAUUAAGCAUAGAGAACAUUAAGCAGUCUCAUGGAACCAACAGGUGGCAUCAGAACAAAACUAAAGCAUAUUAACUAUAUGUGCAUUGGUAUAUAAUUUAGCACAUGUAACAUGUUCACUGCCAGAAGUAUGGCCCUACAGGUGCAAGCAGAAUAACGCGUCUAAUGAAAAACUGAAUGAUGCCCUGAAGAAAUUUAAAGGUGCGGUGCUUAUGCUAGGAAAGUGAACGUAGGCGCCGGCCGUUGGAUAAUAGUACCUGAUUCUCGGCGGCGUAUGGGUAUCGUUAUCAUACUUGAUAGCUAAGGAUCGUCGAUGGUGCUCGUGUUGCAGUUGAGUUUGGGCCGGCUGUCACCGUCGCUGAAGCGGCUCCGGUGCUACGGUUGCGGCGCCUGUCGACAUACAAGAAAGCUCAUCUGUGGUAAGUGAACAGUUGCACGAUAAAGAGAAAAACCGAAGUACAAAUCGAAAUAACCCGAUGAGGCUGCGGCGUUGGUAAAGCAGGGCCGGUGGAGUUGAAUAUGGCGUCCGUGGAGUGGGUCCGGUGCAGUGGACGAAGGCUUCGGCGGGCGCGUUGUACAGUGCUUUCGGUGAGGCGGAUCUGUUGCGGCGGACGAGGGCUUGUAUGAAGGGCCAGCGAAGGGGCGGACGAGGGAGGCAGUGAAGGGCCUACGCUGUGAUGGACGAGGGCGCCGGUUAAGCAGAUCCGGUGCGGUGGACCAUGAUGGCGGUCAAGGAGAUCUGGAGCGGUGGACAAGCCAGUCGCUGAAGCGGCUCCGGUGAAGUGGUGAGUUGGCAGUUGGGGGUUCCUGUUAGAGUUAUAUUGAUGAUGGCCUUUGGCCUUUUGUAUUCUUGCCUCUUGGCAUCCUCAUGUACAUCAUAUAUAUGAUGGCUUUGGCCUCCUAGUAAUACAAGUUGCAUAUUCAUGACAUGGUAUUAGAGCUUUAGUUUUUUUUUCCUUCACAUGCCGCAACUCGUGCUCAGUCCAAUCGCGCCGCCGUGUUCCUCUUUUCCGGCUGCGCUGCUCCACCCCAUCCGCUGCUGUGCUUGGCAGCCGCAUUCCAUUGCAUGUUGUUUCUCUGCUGCCGCUGCUCUACAUCUCUACCUGAUCUGCGAGAGAUCGAUCUCGAUCUGACUCCAUCGUCCUCUGCGAGAGAUCGGGUUCGAUCUGGACAAGGACUAGUGGGAGCAACAUCUCUGUUCCCGCCCGGAUUCCGCCCAAGCCGUCACUCCCCGCCGGUCGUCUACAGCUGCCGCCGCCGGCCGCCAGCCCUAUCCGCUUGCCCACUCCGCGCCUCUACUCUCAAGCUCAGCCGCCGUAGCGCAUCCGGCCCCGCCCGUCGUCGUGGCCCGGUUUCACUUCUGCCGCCCACGGGCGCGAUCCGGCUGCUCCUUCUCGCCUUGAUGUCUCCAGCUGCUCCUCCAACCCGCCGCCGGCCUUCUCCAGGUCCACUGGUGCACCCUCCACCCCGGCCGGUGUUCCGCACCUGUCGUCGAAUACGACGGGCCGCGCGAAGGCCUCCCCAGGUCGUGUUGACCUUCCAUCUGGUCAGCUUAAUUGAGAAAAAAAAGUGAGAAAAAAAGAGUGAGACAAAACAGAUAUGAUGUUUCGGUCGGGCCUGCAACUUCGUCCGUGCCCGCAGACUAACGACGGUGUUCCAUAUAUUGAUCCCGUCUCACACAUACGUCGUCCCUCGGUGCUUGGUGCUCGCCCACUUGGAGGUGGUGGUUGUCGCUCUACUUCGACACCUAUUGCGACAUCCACCGAUGCUACUAGUCGCUCUACAUCGACUCCUAUUGCAGCUUGUGCGCAUGGCGGUGACGGCUCUAUGUCAACUCCCCAUGUGGCUUCCACAUGUGGCUCUAUGUCGACUCCCUACUCUCGGUCGACUCUACAUUCGGCUUCCACGGGUGGUGGUGACUGCUCAUCGUCGACAGAUGCUUCUACCUCGACCUCUUCUGUCAUGUCCCUGUCUGUAUAUGAGAUUGCACAGCUGCGAUGCCUGCUUGAUGCUUGGGAUUCUUCACCGACAGUUUCUGCAGGUUCUGUGACUGACUCUUGUGGCACUGAGAAACCACCUUCUACUCAUUCAGGUACAUCCCCAUGGAUUCUUGAUACCGGAGCGUCUUUUCAUAUGACUUAUGAUUCUUCCACUUUGACCUUCGUUCGACCCGUCGACUCUCCUGUUCGUGUACUCACGGCUGAUGGCACGCCCCUCCCUGUAGCUAGUCGAGGCACUCUUAGCACUUCUUCAUUUCAUGUUCCUUCUCUCGCUCAUGUUCCUCGACUUACCAUGCAGCUCAUAUCUGGUGGUCAGAUUGUUGACUCUAGUUGUAGGGUCAUUCUCGACUUUGAUUCAUGUUCUGUUUAGGAUCGUCGCACGGGCGCUCUACUUGGUGCUGGCCCUCGAUGUUCUGAUGGUCUCUCGGAGCUUGACUGGCUCCGUCUUCCCUCUGUUGCCACCUCUGCCAGUCUCGCAACCCCUGUUGUUGCAUCUACCAGCUCUUUUCAGCAGUGGCAUCAUCGUCUUGGCCAUUUAUGUGGUUCUCAUCCCUCGUCUCUAGUUCAUCGUGGUGUUCUGGGAUCUGUCUCUAGUAACGCUUCGUUGGAUUGUAUGGGUUGUCGGCUUGGUAAGCUGAUUCAGCUACCCUAUCCUCACAGCGAGUCAGUGUCCGAGCGUCCUUUUGAUCUCGUUCACUCUGAUGUUUGGGGUCCGGCUCCCUUCGCUUCAAAAGGGGGUCAUUGCUACUAUAUUAUCUUUAUAGAUGACUUUUCUCGGUUCACUUGGAUAUAUUUCAUGUCUUCUCGUAGUGAGGUCUUAUCUAUAUACAAAAAAUUUGCUGCCAUGGUUCAUACCCAGUUUUCCACUCCUAUUCGUGUUUUUCGCACAGAUUCAGCUGGUGAGUAUAUCUCCUAUGCGCUGCGAGGAUUUCUUGCUGAGCAAAGUACUCUUACUCAGUUCUCUUACCCUGGUGAUCAUGCUCAGAAUGGCGUGGCUGAGCGCAAGCAUCGUCACGUUCUUGAGAUGGCGCAUGCGAUGAUGAUCGCCGCCUCUCUUCCGCCUCACUUCUGGGCUGAGGCUGUUACUACUUCCACCUAUCUCAUCAACAUUCAUCCAUCUGCUGCUCUACAAGGUGGUAUUCCUCUCGAGCGUCUUUCUGGUCAUUCUCCUGAUUAUUCGGCACUCCGUUUGUUUGGUUGUGUCUGCUAUGUUUUGCUUGCCACUCGUGAACGCACCAAACUGACCGCUUAGUCUGUUGAGUGUGUCUUUCUUGGGUACAAUGAUGAGCAUAAGGGCUAUCGGUGUUGGGAUCCUGUCGGUCGCUGGAUGCGUAUUUCCCGGGAUGUGACCUUUGAUGAAUAUCGUCCCUUCUACCCGCGUCCAUCCUCCUCGGCUUUUCUACGAAGGACAUCUCUUUUCUUAGAUUUCCAGAUACACCUCCCUCUGUGCCCAGUAUUCCUACUCCUCAUCCUGCUGUUGCAGAUCUGACGUCGUCCUCUCCUACGGUUUCUUCUACUCACUCGUCGCAUGAUUCUCCACCUUCAUCGCUGAUAGCCUCUCCUUCUCCACCUUUAUCACCGAUACAUUCCCUGUCUCCACCUCCAGUGAUUCCACCUCUUCCGUCCUUUCCUUUCCAUUAUAAUCAUCGUUCACGUGUUGUGAAUGAGUCUACCGAUGUGCCCUCUACUUCUAGUGUGUCGUCUUCCUCCUCUCAUACGACUUAUGGUCUUCGUUCUCUGCCUUGUCCACCCCCUGACCGAUAUUCUCCUUCUCGUUAUGGUCUUUCGGACAUUCUUGAGCUGACUUCUUAUCGAGAUGCUAUUGUUCAUCCUGAAUGGCAGUUCACGAUGCCAGAGGAGAUUGCUGCCCUUGAGCGCAAUGACACGUGGGACCUGGUUUCUCUCCCCCCCCCCGUGUUCGUCCCAUCACUUGUAAGUGGGUCUAUAAGAUUAAGACUCGCUCUGAUGGUUCUCUUGAGCGUUAUAAAGCUCGUCUUGUGGCUCGUGGCUUUCAGAAGGAGCAUGGUCGUGAUUACGAUGAGACUUUUGCUCCUGUGGCCCAUAUGACCACUGUCCGCACACUUCUCGCCGUGGCCUCUGUUCGCCACUGGUCCGUGUCUCAGCUUGAUGUUAAGAAUGCCUUUCUCAAUGGUGAAUUGCGUGAGGAAGUUUAUAUGCAUCCACCACCUGGGUAUUCAGUUCCUGAUGGCAUGGUUUGCCGUCUUCGUCGCUCUCUAUAUGGCCUUAAGCAAGCCCCUCGCGCUUGGUUUGAGCAUUUUGCCUCUGUGGUCACUGCAGCUGGUUUGUCACCCAGUGCUCAUGAUCCAGCGUUGUUUGUCCACCUUUCUACUCGUGGUCGCACUCUUCUUCUUAUAUAUGUUGAUGACAUGAUCAUCACUGGCGAUGAUUCUGAGUACAUUGCCUUUGUCAAGGCCCGUCUCAGUGAGCAGUUUCUUAUGUCUGAUCUUGGUCCCCUUUGUUACUUUCUUGGGAUUGAGGUUUCCUCCUCCUCUGAUGGAUUUUCUAUUUCCCAAGAAAAGUAUAUCCAUGAUCUUCUUACUCGUGCGGCUCUUAGUGACGAGCGCACUGCUGAGACUCCUAUGGAGCUCAAUGUUAACCUUCGUGCUUCUGAUGGUGAGCUCUUGUCUGAUCCGACGCGUUAUCGUCAUCUUGUUGGGAGUCUUGUCUAUCUUGCUGUCACUCAUCCGGAUAUCUCCUAUCCUGUCCAUAUUCUGAGCCAGUUUGUUUCCGCUCCCACUUCAGUUCACUAUAGUCACCUUCUUCGUGUUCUACGAUAUCUCCGUGGCACGAUCUCUCAUCGUCUCUUUUUUCCUCGUUCUAGCUCGUUACAACUCCAGGCCUAUUCAGAUGCUACGUGGGCUAGUGAUCCUUCGGAUCGCCGUUCACUUUCUGCUUACUGCGUUUUUCUUGGUGGUUCUCUCAUUGCUUGGAAGACAAAGAAAUAGACUGCAGUUUCUCGUUCGAGUGCAGAGGCCGAGUUGAGAGCUAUGGCUCUUCUGACGGCAGAGGUGACUUGGUUAUGAUGGCUACUGGAGGAUUUUGGUGUUUUUGUUACUACACCUACCACCCUCUUGUCUGACAGUACAGGUGCUAUCAGUAUUGCGCCGGACCCUGUGAAGCAUGAGCUUACCAAGCAUAUUGGUGUUGAUGCUUAUUAUGUGCGCGCUGCUGUGCAGGAUCAUGUUAUUGCUCUUCAGUAUGUGCCUUCCGAGUUAGAGCUAGCGGACUUCUUCACAAAGGCACAGACUAGAGCACAACAUAGAUUUCAUCUCUCCAAACUCAGUGUUGUCGAGCCACCAUGAGUUUGAGGGGGGGUGUUAGAGUUAUAUUGAUGAUGGCCUUUGGCCUUUUGUAUUCUUGCCUUUUGGCAUCCUCAUGUACAUCAUAUAUAUGAUGGCUUUGGCCUCCUAGUAAUACAAGUUGCAUAUUCAUGAUAGUUCCAAGGUGCGGAAGGUAGAUCCGGCAGGGUGUGAGGUCCACCGCUGCGGCGGAGGACUAGAUUCGGCGGCUUGCCGUGGUUGGGGGGUCGGGGAGGGGAAGGGGCGGGGCUCUGGGGAAGAAUGUUGGGGGCAAAGAGGGGAAAACAAUGGACUUACCAAAGAAGCCCUUUUCUGUUCAUGUGGCAGGGGUAAAAUAGGAAUAUCGCAGGGCUAAACUUUCGGGCGCGUGAUAUUUUGAUGUGAGCGGGAAGUUUGAAAGCUUUUGGUGCCUAAAAUUAUAAGUAUUUUGCUCUCGUACGGCCGACUAUGAUAUCUUGGUCGACAACUUGUUUGUUUUGCACGCCAAAAAAAUGUGCAAGUUUUGAAAAUCAAUGUCUCCAACUCGAAACUUAGAUUUUCCAUUCAAUUCAAAUAUGGAUCAUUGAGCUACUACAAGCAAAUACCAUCAUACGGUCCAAUUCAAAUGAAAUUCCAAAUGUGUUUAUCCUAAAUAUGAUGACAAAAGCAAAAAUGUGUAUGUGUAUGAAUAAAGUGGAUGAUUAUAAAGUUUGAACAUGCCCGUAUGUGUAUAUCUCUAGGUUUGAUAUAUGAAUUUGAAAUCACGAAAUCCCGGCUUAAAAAAUGUACCUCCGUUUAAAUGAAUUACAAAAGCUAAUGAUGGAGUCGAAUUCCAAAAUUCCAAUCUUAGGUUUGUAAUUCCGGUACAUCAAGGUAUAUCACGCAUGUUCAAAAGUAUUAUUAUCUCAUAGUACAAAUUGUGAAACAAAUUGAUCAACCAUGAGUGCACAAUAUAUCAAUUACGCUAAAGUCCGUCAAAUAUGGACACCUCACUCUUUAUCUUAAGUCAACCCCCCCCCCACCACCACCACACACACACACACAUAGAGAAGUCGUUAUCUCCCCCAAACACCAACACACGAGCACAUUAACACCCUUCUCUCUUGUAAAGUCCGGACCUCAACAUAGGUCUCUAUCACUUUGUCUCUCGGGCAUGCACACAUCUCUUCCCUCACUCUCUAGGUCUCCCGCUAUCUCUCUUACCCAAGCACACACACUAUGUAGAGUGUAUAUUUCCCNNNNNNNNNNNNNNNNNNNNNNNNNNNNNNNNNNNNNNNNNNNNNNNNNNNNNNNNNNNNNNNNNNNNNNNNNNNNNNNNNNNNNNNNNNNNNNNNNNNNNNNNNNNNNNNNNNNNNNNNNNNNNNNNNACCCCAACAUAGGUCUCUAUCACUUUGUCUCUCGGGCAUGCACACAUCUCUUCCCUCACUCUCUAGGUCUCCCGCUAUCUCUCUUACCCAAGCACACACACUAUGUAGAGUGUAUAUUUCCCAUACACACAAAACGUCGCCCCCAAACGUCUAUCUCCCUAGUUAUGUGGUUCUCGCGCACUCACCUCACACACCACCCCCACUGCAAACAAGCACACUUUGUCUCCUUAUGCACCACUCUCCUCUUUCUAUCUCUCCCACAUGCGGACCCGCCCCAGCUCCUUCCAUGUAUACAUAUAUGUCGUGACUCCUUGCGUAGCUCCUUAAUGUAUAAUCGUUCUCGAUUUCGCACAUUGUUCUCUACACCAUCUAUUCUAGAUCUCUCAUGAAGUCCCUAUCACACACACGAUGACUCGCUUCCCUUGCGUCUCCGUUCAUAGGCCAAUUUCGGACAACAUCAACAUUGUCUCCCUAUCUAUACACCAUUUAUGGACACAAACGACCCCUCUCGCCCCCUCUCUUCCUCUCUCUCUCUUUCUCCGUCGCUAGCUCUCUCUUUCUCUCGCUCUCACACCCCUCUCCCACACACACAAUCGAUGUCUCUUCCAAAUAGUCUGCUCCCCCCGCCCACACCCGUGCUAUCUCGCUACUACACAUGUCACACCAUUCCCCCUUCCCUUAUACUAGGUUUACAUCAUCAGUGGUCUCUCUACUACACAUACACUCUCUCCCUCUCACACACAAACGCGUGCACAAAAACACACAGACCCGCACAAACACACAUUUAUCUGGAUCCUCAUCUCUCCUCAUGUCCGCAUGUGUAUCUCACACACUCACUCUCUUAUUAUGUAUAUGUGUCUCCAUGUUACACAACACAAAGCCCCAUGUACAUGUCUCUCUCUAUCCUCCACACACAUAGACACAAAGAAUCUAUUAUCAUUGCCUCAGUCUCUAACAUAUCACACACGCACUCUCUCUCUCUCUCUCUCUCUCUCUCUCUCUCUCGCAAACACGCUCAAUAAGGGUUUCCCCGUGAAUAACUUACUGUCUAUUCAUCAACAGUCGUGGCAGUACGGCGAACACGAGACAUGAAAAAGAAUAAAUCUACAUGUGCUUAGACCACCUAGUAUGACUACUAGGACUAGAGAAAGCCAAAAAGCGCACCGCCGUCACCCCCUCCUUGUCGGCGAUGGGAAAAUCUUUGUUUUACACAGUUGAUAAGUCAUUGUGCUAAGGCCCCACAUGCCGAGGCGUUGAAUAGAAUGUAGAUGCUAGUUUACGGAAGCAAGUAUCGAUAAUACAUUUGUAUCUCCAUACUUAUAUUUCUUCUCUUAUAAAAAACCGAGUUGGUGAUGAUGGUACAUGUGCCAUCUUGCAAUAUAGACCGUCCGAUCUAUAUCUGACGGAUGGAAAUUAAACUAAAAGAUAACCGCACCCCUCUCCACAUUUGUAGACAAGGCCUUCCCUCUUUCAUCGUUAUCUCCAACAAACCUCAUUGUUGAGCAAUUAAGAAAGGAAGCCUCUGGAACAAACUGGCCUGGUGGCCGCUGCCGGCGUCGUCAAUCCCCAUGCCUCUGCUCAGUCCGACCACCAACCACCACCACACCCCACUCCUCUUCACCUUAUCUCAUAUUUCUCGAGAUAUCAUUAGUUUUUACACAUGGCAUUACUCCCGCAAGGGUCAAUCACAACAAGUGUUUUAUAAAAAAUGCAUCUCGAUGUUCCGUGCAAUGCACGGAUCUUGCUAGUACUCCUACACAAGACUAAGUUGGGGAUGCUGGUGUGUCUGCCAUUCGUCGUUUUUGACCAUUAGAUCUACAUCUAACGAUUGUGAGGUAACUUGUUGCCUUUUAUCACCAACAUCCCACUUGUCUACCAAUUUGCAGAAAAACCCAUAAUUAGUAUCUUAAAACCAACCACAUCCCUCCCUGACCUCACCAAAACAGCCCAAGGAAUAUAUUCUAAUUAAAACAUAAUAUAUCUCUAGGGACAUAUGUAUAUCAAAAUCAGAGUAUUUUGUACCAAGUUUGUGAAUAAGUAUUAUUCUAAUUAUGAUUCGUUGCAACGGACAUGAACAUUGCUAGUAUUUCCAACCAUGCAUUUUUUCCUAGUAUUCCAUAGUUUCGAGUUUUCCAUCAAGAUAUCAGUCACUCAUGGUUGAUAUUUACUUUCAAUCAUGUACACAUAUGCACUAUGUAACUAGUCUUGCUUAUUGGCUUCCAAAGCUUAACUUUCACUCCUACUUACAAUAUGUAGAGUAUUUAACAAAAAACUACCACUUUCAACCAGCCCUAGAAAGAAUCUAUUGUACAAAAAAUAGCAAAAACAUACCCAAAAUUUCUUAAUCCAUGCCAAAAACUACCUAGUACUCCUACCAAUCAGGUUCGUUUAAACCCAUUUAUGACAGGGUUAAACCAACACAUUUUGUUUGACCGUUGACACGAGGGACCCACAUCUGACCUUCUAUCCUGUUAUUCCCCCUCAAAUCAUUAUUUUUCUUGAACAUUACUUCAAACAGUACUGAUGCGUGUUCGUCGGUGGCGCCGGUGAUGAGCGAGUUGGCCGCCGCUCCGCCGGACGGGCCGGACGCCGCGCUGGCCUUCGCACGGGUUGGCAGGCUGGCCCGAGUGUGACUCACGAGCGAGCAAGCCGCCGUGCUGGCCUUCGCUCGAGCCAGAAGGCUGGCCUUUGCGUGGCGCGCGCGAGCAAGACGCCGCGCUGCCGUGCCAAUCUAGCUAGCAAACCUUGCAGAAAAGCAGCUGGAUGGAGCUAUCUUGGCUAGCUAGCGGCCGCGAGCGCCGGACGGAGCUGGCAUCCGGGCUGCCGCAACAUGGGCUCCGCACCGCCGGAGGUUUUGACCUCGCCUUCUGCCGGCGGCGGUAGCUGCGUCCCAUGGCCGAGGAUGACUAGGUGGAUGGGCCGAAGGUAGGAGGUCACUCGAGGAUUUUUGUUGGUAAGAGCAUGUACAAUGGUUGAUAAGGUAGUCUUAUCUUAAGUCUGCCACGUAUGCAAGUGGUAGUAGUUUCUUGGCAUUUUAGUGGUUUCUUGCAUUAUUAGAGCAAGUACAAUAGAGCUGAGUCAGCAGGCUAUAAGAAAUAAACUAGUAUAUUUCUGCUUAGUUGGAGGAAAGAGAAGAGGAGAGAGAAGGUAAGCGGGCUCUUCGUGAAGAGCCAGCUCUAGCACGUGCUCCUAGGCACUUUGUGAGAAUGAGAAGUGGGCCACAUAAUAAAAAAGUAGUACACUCUUUUGAUCUAUUAUUGUACAUGUUGGCUAUAAGAUGGGUUGUAGAUGACAUGGCACUGGCAUAUAGCCAGCAGCAGAUGAUAGGGGUUUCCUGUAAGGAACAAUGUACGUACUACUAGCAACAAAAGGCGAUUCUAGGUUGCGUUGUACUCCAACGAGUACUACUAGUGGUCGCAGGAGUUUAUACCUCGUUUUCUGGGUUCGAUCCCGGUUGAACGCACGGCAGCCUUUUUAAAAAAAAAUAGUACUACUACACUUCGCUGCGAGCCAAUAUUUUACACGGGUAGUUUGAGUUUUGAAGUCAAACGGACGUGCGGCCCCACAAUCUGGGUGCACUGGACAACCUAGCCACGUGAACGGGUUUUCUUUCCCAGCAUCCCGUGGCUUGCAUGCUCGCCCUAGCCGCACCUCGAUUGCAGCUUCCUCAUCAGCUAGUAGCAUAUUUAAACUAGCGCCUCCCAAUUAAGCCCGAGGAGCCGGAAAAGCCUGGUGGGGCAUUGGGAACUGUGCAAUAUGGCUCUUUACGUAAAGUGCUCUACUCCCUCCAUCUAGGUGUGUAAGUCACCUUAUGAAAACCAAAUAAUCCCAAAACACUUAGGCACCGUACAUUAACUCCCUUCUCGUUUUUUGUUUUGUGGCAUAUCAACCAAUAAGAUAUGUGGGCUGUGCAUGCUUUCAAUGACUUGAGACUACCAAACAUAACAUACAGUGGUUAGUUCAUUGCAUGCAAUGCUAUUAAUUAGCAAAAAGACAUUAAGUUUUCUCGUUUUCCUCUCCGCCUUGGUCGCGAUGCACAACGUAAGAUGACUUACACACCUAGACAGAGGAAGUACUACUACUCUAUAGCUUGUGGUGUUGCAUGCAUGGACUUCACUCCAUUACCGGCUCUACUAUAAAAGAAAUUCCUCUUAACAUGUUUUUUUGAAACGGAGGCAAAAGCUUUGCUUCACCUCAUUCAUAAAGAAGGAACUACUAACAAAGUUCAACGAGAUCCAUUACACCUCCACAAAUGGAAGCGAAAAGCCUAGUCUCGCUGUAUCAAAUAACUCAAACGUUCUGCCCCCGCAGUAACCGUCGCUAAUAAACAGGCUGCUAGUGUGUGCGUGAGAGGAGCGGCUGAGUAGGCAGCUACGUGAGAGGAGCGGCUGAAUAGAGCACCGAGAGUACCCACUAGGCCACUACGCAGGUGUACUUCCCCUGCAUUGAUAGUACAACGAUGGUUCUAGAGAACUAUAGUACCCUCCACUUCCAAUUGUAGCUCCUUGGCCCUGAGAUUCAAGAGUUCAAAACUGGUGCACUAUACUAGACUAGACUAGAAGUACAGUACAUCACACUACUAGUUGAGAAAAGUAGUACUAGUACUGCUAUAGUACGAGUAUGUACUCCUCCGUCACAUAAUGUAAGACGUUUUUUGACACUAGUUGGCGUGUACAAAAAAUGGUAAAAACAUACCCAAAAUUUCUUAAUCCACGCCAAAAACUACUACCUAGUGCCAAAAAUUUCUUACUAGUGUUGUAUAAUGCAAUCCCAUAACGUUCCAUAAUCCCUUUCUUUCAAAAAAAUCUCUUCUGGAGAGAAGAUUGCUAUCUCCACGCGAGCUUCUCAUAGGCCAGCGCCACCGCAUGCAGUCAUGUGAGAGAGAGGGAGACAUCCAUGCAGCAUGCAGAGAGAGGAGAAUGCGGGCAGACAGCCAAUGGGCUGCAUGGGGCAUUUAUAGCUGCUAGCUCCUCCCAUCCAUGCGCCAGGGGUAUUUCCGUCCAGAAAGCAUGCUGCGAGCCCCUGCCUUGGUAUCCGGGUCCGCUCUUAUGCGUAGAGUCAAAAGAAUCGAAGGGAGUACUAGUAGUAAAUAAUAGCCUCACCCCUUCGCUGAGGAACGAUCUACAGUUGGAAGGGACGAGGCCCUGCGGUUACUACGCUCUUAUCUCCUCCUCGCCAGUUCCCCUCCCCCUGAAGAGAAGGCAGUUCGUCGCUGCUCCCAUGGAUUCGCCAGGCGGUUCUCCUCCUCGUCGGGGCUGGGAGACCUUGGAUGACGAUCCUGUGGGAGAAAUCGCACGCCGCUCUGACGUCCUCACCGCCGCAAGACUCGGUGCUUCCCGCACCAACUUUUUCAAGACGCUGCUUAAACAUGCCAUGCUUGUUGGUCUUCCAUGCGUCCUCGAGAAGAAGGUUCUUCUAUGGGACAAUCCUUCAAAUAGUCCACCGCUCCCUGGCCAUGGUUGCACGUUGACUCCGCUAGAGUUGCCGACAUUGAGAGGUAGUCGGAUUUUGUCCGAUGAGCAGGUCAGUAAUGGAGUUUGAUCAUGUAGUACUUAGUUAUUCCAUUUCCAUCCCGUAAUUUCUCCGCUGCCCACCGUCUUAUAUAUAGGUUUGGGUCGGUGCCAACGAAGAUUGGCUUGCAUACCUCCGGCCGGAUACCACCAUCAUUUUGCACAACAUCCACAACAGUGCGGCCGUUCCGGUAGACCCCUUCUCCACCAUUGGGAUCGGCCUUCCAGACUGGCUGGGCUUGAAUACGUAUGAUGAUGCCUACAUGAGAUUGAAGAAGAUAGCAAUUGCGGACCCAUCGACAAAGCGACGCGGCUACGCCGAUUACUAUCUCAUCGCGGUGUUCGACAUAAGGAUUGCCAUCAAUGCAAGAGGCAGUAACGGCAGAGGCUGGCGCAUGUUGGCGGCGGCAGAUUUGUACCCCUACACGUUCGAAGACGUCGUGCGCCAUCUAGGCCGCAUCUUUGCGGUGACAAGCCAGGGGACUUGUUUCAUCUGGUUGCCAUCCUACGGUACGGGAGAUUACAAACGGAAUGCACAAACCAUCAUUUGCAUCCCUAACAGUACUCCAUUAUUUUGCAGGGACCAGUCAUCCCCCGAUCAAAAUAAGAUUGUGGAUCCUAGAUGUGCAUUUGCAUCCGCAAUUAGGUCUAACCUGGAACCUUGUAGCUGACUUUGGCAUAUUGGGAUCAACUAUCUUAGCAGUCGUUACCCAUGGUACCACUGAUGUGCAACAUGGUCACACAAUCUACCACGAUCGGACCAUCACCAUCUACCCAGGUAUUCCAUUUUUUUAACCCUCUCGCCUUCUCUUUCAUUGUUGUACUAGUAGUAUACUUUGUAGUACUAGUAGGAGUACUUUUUAGCUUGAAGGACACGUAUAGCUAGCUAGGCCCUUGAAGACUUGAACCCACUAGCUGCCACCAUUUUUGUUUUUCCAUGUCUUACUAUCUCAUCCAUGUAGCCAAGAGUGGCUAUAUAUAAUAAGCCGGUUAUUUUACUUCCUCUAUACCGGAGUAGUACUAUUUGCUGCACAGUAUUACUGACGGCCAUAUUUGAGCACAACAAUAUUAUGCAUGGACCUUGACUAUGUAUGUCACCAUGUGUCCAGAUCUGGGAUGCCACGUGUACUAGAUGAACGGCGCCGAGUUCGACCCACGUGAUGCUACGUGGGUGCCGAGGAACACUCUUGGAGAGUACUCGCUUUUCAUUGUGGACAACUACCCCAAUGUGAAGCGGAUGCCACCUUCCGUGCACGACACGGAAGGCCUGCCGUUCAUGAAGCAUGGUUGUGCCUUCAGUGCGCACCGCCGGAUGAACGACAUGCUGGGACACGCUAUCCCUGAUUUAUGCUGCUUCAGCUUGGAUGAGUCUCCAUCAUGUGGAACCGGACUAGAAAGCUGCGAAAAUGAUUCCCGUUGCCCAUCGCUAUGGAUCGUGCCAUCCAUGAAUAACACCUGGGACUGGAACCUGGAGGAGGACAUGUAGCCCAUCUAUAACGUGUAAGUGGAGUACGGUAAUUGUGAACGGUAGCGCUGUGAAUAUAUGUAGACUAGUCAUGCACAAAUUUAUCACAUGAAUUGGAGAUGAACUUGUGUGGCAUACUGGCAUUUGUCCUUUAGAAUUUAUUACUAGUAAAUGUGUUAUGUUUACGUGCAACUUGUGUAGUUGUUGUACGGGCUCCAACACGCUCUUUGAGAAAAAAAGGUGGGACAGCUUUGGAUAUACGUGACGUGGCGGCAUCAUACAGUAUCAUCGUUUGCUAUAGUUGUAGUACACUCCUACUAGGACGACAACUCCUAUAAAACCUUGAGCUUAGCUCUUUGCCUCUUCGGGAGGUUUAACAGUUCAUACUCGUGUGAACCUUGCACUUGGCUCUUUGCCUCUUCGGAAGGUCCAACAAUGAUGAUACUACAGUACAAUAUGCUUCUGGCAAUCUAACACCGGUUGAACUACUGCACGUCCACCGCGAGGGCGAGGGCGAGGGUGAGGGAGAUUGAGAGGGAGAGGGCGCUGUAGUCAAAACCCUCUCCUCGUCCUGCGAAUCACCGCGUGCGUGGGCGAGGGAGAGGCGUAGUAAGCAAGCUUCUCCUCGUUCGACGAGUUGACGGGACACAUCAAAGAAGUACUAGUACUAGUAGUAGUAGUCCAUACUGCGUCCUUUCCGAUUAAUAUGGCUUAAUUUGAAACGAGAAAAAUACACUGGCGGUCAAGGUAUGUAACAAUACGCUCUUUACGGUCACUAUAUAUAGUUUUGCGGCGAUUAUACGAUCACUAGCUCAUCGUAGAGCACUGUAUUGCACCCUACUGACCGGCCACAUAGUCAACGUGGCACUUUGUUGAGUAGUUAAAUUGUCACCUGGUUUCUGGGUCCCACCUGUCAGUUGGCAGAGCAAAGAAAUCAGUUAAACAAAACUUUAUGCAGGCGCGACACGAGUCCAACCCUUGCGCGCGAACUGCCCUGGCUGUGUAUGUGAGUGCAUGCACGUGUCCUCCCUCGGUCUUCCAACAAAGAGUGUACAUCGGCUAUAAAACAAAGAGUGUAGUACAUGAUGUACAUCUACACUUCCAAUGCAUUUAGCCUUUAAUCUAAAUCGAUAUUGAUUAACUAAUGCACUAACUUGUGCUGUAGAUAUAGGCUACAUGCCUAUCCUUAAUUACAGCAUGCAACGGUCUUCAUUUAAUCUUCUUAUCUCAAUGGUCGCAUGCACACAUAAGUCUGCUACUUUUGGGCGUUAAUUAUGCCCUGGUCAAUGUGUAAAUAUCUAAAUGUACAGUCUUUCAUGAAUGUAGGGAGUAGGUUGAGCACUUGAGCAUGAGCGUGUGUGUUGCGUCGUGUGCUGUGUGCCGCAUGGGUGCGUGAGUGUUGCGUGCGUCCAUGUGUACGUCUGAGUGUUGCAUGUUGCAUGCAUGCAUGCAUGCAUGGGGCUUACUCCCUCCCAUUGACAUGUUCAUAUUUCAAGCUUCCUCUGUUCCCUCUAUAUGGUGAUACUCCCUCUGUUCCCAAAUAGUACGGAGUAAAAGCCUCCCUCUGUUCCCGAAUAUGGAGUAUUUGUCUUUCUACAGAUUUCAACAAGUGACUAGGUACGAAGCAAAAUGAGUGAAGUGAGCGUAGAGGCAUAGGGAUACUGUAGAAAGGAAGUCCUCGCGAUCCAUUAUUCCCCAUCUCGGUCAGAGAGAACUAUUCAACUAGUCUUCGCAGUGAAGUGACAAUACACGCUGCAUCUGAUGGGACACGUAAUUAAUAAGCUGAACUAGCAUGUUGGUGUUACUAAAUCAGUCAUACCCAGUACUGCCAUCUCUUCUUCUUCCUCUUCUCUUCCCCAUCGUCGGCCGCACAGCAUUUACCGCCGCUCACUGCUCGCCCGCCCGCGCCAUCUUCCUUGGUAGCUCACGCGUACCAUAUCCCCCCGCUCACUGCUCGGCCACACGAGGAGAAGCUUCUUCGCUCGCCCGCCCGAAUCCACUUCCCCGCUGGCUCGCAAACACCGAAAACCCCAAUGGCAGAACCGACUAACACGCAGAGCCGCGAUUGGAAUUCCCCUCCCUGAUGUUCUCUUGGAGCAGAUCUGUAGUCGUAUGGACCUACUCAGCACCGUCCGUCUGGCCGCAUGCUCGGUGUCUUUGUACCGUCUACUCAUCUGCAACCGGCCGGCUCUUUUCAAGACACCCUGCUUACUAAUGCCCGAUCCUCGCAGGUGGCCCAAACACCGACUUGACGAUCCUACGGAGGUUGCCGUGGUGCCCCUCGACAUGCUACCACUACCUGUCCACAUGUCCUUCAUGUGCGGCCACUACUGGGCGGGCAUGAAGGCCAACUGGAUCGUCCUCAUCCACCACACCUGUAGUCCGUGGCGUCUUGUGGAUAUCUACACCCAGCGAGAGAUCACCCUUCCAUCGUUGGAUACUGCCGCCAUCGAGCCUCGCGGCCCGCCGGACACUCUUGCCUACUACGCACGAGAUGCGUCAAGCUUUUGGCUCGACCUCUAUUUGCAGAAAGUUGUAAUCUGCAAAGUGCCCACACCAUCAGAAGACUACAUGGAUUAUAAGCUCAUUGCCUUGUUCAACAUGGGAUUAGUCUAUCUAGAAUCCGGUCGCCAUACAUGGUUAUGGCUCAUCAUCAAUCCUGUUGAGGCAACAUUUCUGUCUGAUGCUAUAGUGCAUGGUGGCAUCGUUUACGCGGUCGACGCACAGAUUGGCUGCCUAUACUGUUGGAAUCUAUCGUCGUGUAAUUGUUCUAUCUCAUCUCAUCUUUACCUUAUGAAUAAGACUGCCUGUUCAUUUGUUACAAAUUUAGAAUGCAUAGCAUGUCUAUAACCACAUCAUUGCUAUAUGUUCAUCUCAUUUCCUAGAUUUUUAUGACCACACAUGUUAUUGUUAGAAUUGAUAUGAGAACAAUUGGCAUCUAACGAUUAUUAGAAUACAUAUUAUGAGCAUAACAUCGUGAUUGCUAUAAGUUACUCUCGUUUACAAGAUUUUUAUAACAACGCAUGUUAUUGCUUAGAGUUGAUAUGAGAACAGUAGUAGUAAGUGCUAUGGUAGAAUAUGAGUAGACGUUGUCAUAGCUGUUUUCCUCUCAUUGUUACAUGAUGUUUGAACCAUGACAUAUUGCUAGAAUAUGAAAGCCAUUGGCUUAUUUUUUUUAACUUGGGGUAUGAUUAUGACCACGACAUUGCAAUUCUCUAUCUAUGAUAUGUGUCACUGUUAUAAUAAUCUUAAUUCCACACAUACUUUGAAUAUGAUUGUUUAUUUUUGUUCUUUUGGUCUCCAAUUUGAAUUGUUGCAGCAGACGCAAAUGCGCUGGCCUUCAUGAUUCCAGGACCUGGAAUCAUACCAGCCGAUGGCUGGUGAUUUAUCGCUCGUUCAGCUGACGGUGGUCACUUUAUGCUCAUUCGCACGUACCAAAUUGAACAAACCAUUAUAUCAAACCACAUGCAGUACAAUGUGUGGGGCGCUCGUGACAUUGAUGGCUAUGGCUGCUUCGUGUUCGAGAAAGAUCCCAGCUCCGUUGGGCCAGGCGUAUUCAACUGGAAGCGGGUUUACAGCCUCGACAACCACUCCUUGUUCCUCGGGCUCAAUUAUCCGAUCAUCCAACCAAUCAUCGAUCAUAUCACCGACGAUGAUUACUGUGCUACGCAACUUCCAUUCGCGAGGGGGGGGGGCUGUGUUUACACAUCAUACCAUGAGUUUCAUGAAUCACCAUAUCUAGAGAUUUGUCGACACAGCUUGUUGCCAGAUAAUCUUUAGUGUGUGAAAGGCAUCAAGCUUCCAUGCGAUGGAUGGCUUUUGCAAACCCGACAUGCGGCGAUGUGGUUCAUACCAACAACAAAUAUGCACAACUUGAUUCGUGCUGAUAUCUAAACUGAGCCAUGUAUUCUGCUGCUGUAGCACGAUCCUCUUUAGUUGAAUAUUAUGUAUUGUUGUUAGUUUGAAGCACUCCUCUGGUUUGAAGGAUAGAUACCUUCCUGGGAUCAAGUGCAUCCUAACUCACCUGCUUAGGAUGUACUGAUAAUGAUGAUAGAGAUGCUGUGCAGAAGCCAUAUAUAUAUAUAUCCGUCUAUUCUGAUAAUAUUAUCAGAAUAGUUAUUCUUAUAACACUUCUGCACUGCAUGCUCAACGCGAGGGAACUGCACUUUCUUUAGCAAGAGCACUGCAUUACAAAGACUAGUGAACUUCGCGUCGGAAAAAAAUGCGCGUAGUGUUUUUUUGGUACUGUUUUCGCUCUAAUUUUUAACCGUUUAUCGGAACGAGGCGUGUAAUAUAUCAUUGGAAAGCUACGUAUUAGGCGCAACUUCGCCAUGUUGAACACUUUUCGAGACUCCCCGCGGUUUAAGAGCAGUUUCAAAAAUGGUGCAGCCCAUAAAGAGUGGCAGCGAGCGUUUUUCGCGUUUUUUUUCUAAACCGCUCGUCGGAAUGACGCAAAUGAUACACCGUUGGACAGAUAUCGUCGAGGCGCAUCUUUUUCAUAACUAUUGUUUUCUCUAAUUCAUUACGGUUUAAGAGCAGUUUCAAAUUUACUAAAUCGCGGAAUUCUGUUUUUCGAAAAAAAUUAAAUUUUUCGGUACUGUUUUCGCUCCAGUUUUUUAACCGUUUGUCGAAACGAGGCGUGUAAUAUACCGUUGAAAAUCUAUGGACGAGGCACAACUUUCAUAUGUUGAAAUAUUUUCAAGAUUCCUUACGGUUUUAAGUUAAUUUUAAAAAUCGUGUAAUGGACGACGAGUGAUAAUGACCGUUUUUCGUGAAAUUUUUACAAACCGGUUGUCGAAAUGAUUCAAAUGAUAUGUCAUUGGAAAGAUAUCGACGAGACGCAACUUUUUCAUGUAGAACACUCUCUCUCUCUAAUUCCUUAUGGUUUAAGAGCAGUUUUAAAUUUACCGAAAUGCGGACACUCUGUUUUUCGCGCCACCCAAAUCGACGUAGGUACUUCAUCCGACUGAAAACCGCACUACAAUGGAUGAAAAACCGCAGGGGAAGAAGCGGGAUGGAGGUGGGGCAGCGCCGGCAGCGGAAGAAGCAAGUUGGGAGUAGGGUGGCGCCGACAGGAGAAGAAACCGGGUGGGGAUGGGGGCCGCGCCCUGGCAGGGUCGGAUGUGGAUCCGGGAAGGCGAAUUGUGGCAGCGGAGGAGGUGGGAGGUGGGGGUGCUAGUUGGGUUAGUCGGGUGGGGUGAGUUCGGUUUAGGAAAAGUGUUAUGAGAAUAAGCCUAGGUGUUAUUAGAAUAAGACUCUGGAGGGUGUUAUUAGAAUAGACCCACCCUAUAUAUACUAGCACAAAUGCCCGUGCGUUGCAACAGGAGUGUAGCAAAAAUAUAUAACAUUACAAUACGGUAUUAUGUGAGACGAGGGGUGAGAAAAAAGGUGAAAGACGAAGUUUCGGAGGCUCGCUGCUCUAAAUUUGUAAGGUGACAUGAAAUUUUUACUUAGGAACGACAUUCUGAUGACCUCAUGAAGGUGAUGUCAGAAUUGGCAACAUCUGAUUCACGUGCACAUAUGGAACAGAUUUGGUUUGUGGCCAAUAAAACAAUCGGAUGAGGGAUAAUGUCUAGAUUGUUGAUGAUAUCUAGAUUAGUAUAUUGGUGUGAGUAAUUGGAAAUUUCUCACCGAGAGUGACAUAGGCUUGCGGUAUAUAUUGAAUGAUGAGAUUCGUCAUUCACAAUGCAUGAUUUGAAAUCUUCUUCUGUUGACUGGAUUCAAAUCAUUACAUGUGCUUUGGUAUGGAGCAAAUGUCAAUUGCUAUGAAUAGUGGUUUACCCGAUGAAUAAAUUGGGUCACAGGACGUGGGACACUGCUAACAAAAACUGUAUAUUUUGAGGGCAGUGAUUUUUGGACUUAGUUCGAGACAUGGGAUAUGAUCCCAAAUCAAUUGAUCUAUGUGAAGAACAAUUAACUGACCGAGGGUGUUUUUUACUUAGUACGGGAUAUGGUCAUUAUCCCAGAUCGAUUGAUAUAUUUUUCACCUUCUAAUAGCCAAUUAAUAUGAAUCCGUGAGGGGUAGUUAAUUGUUUUUUUUUCUUUUUGCAGGAGAGGUGUAGUUAAAUUCUAUUUUUUUGCGGGAGAGGGGUAGUUAAAUUCAACGUUAAAACAAAAAAUAUGUAGCGCCAAACUCAACAACGUAGUUCGGAAAACAAACACAAACACAUAUUUUUUUUGAGACAAACAAGCACAAACACAUGUGUGCACGUUGACACGUCCCCGUGAUGGGCUUAGAUUUUUGCACCCCUGUUUUUUACAAAACAAUAGAAAAAUAUCCGGUAACACCUGGGCUGAUAGCUACUACACGACCACGAAGAAAAAUCGUCGUUGCGCUCGCCGUGGGCUACUACACCUCGGCGCGUAGCUAACACGCAUUCUCUCUAGAAAUUUCGCUCGUCAGAUUUCCCUUCCAUAAGCACCGUCGUCAGAGCGCAGCUCUUAUCCAUUCCCCGUCCUCAACCCCGAUACCACACGACAACCCAGGGAUGUAGCGCCCUUGCCGCCUGCGCGCCCAUCGCCGCCGGACCCCCCCACCCCGCACCCCGCUCCCCACCGCCGGGACGCCCGCUCCCCCGCGCUGCCGUGCCCCUGCUCCACCAGGACACCAGUGGCCAUGGCGGGCGUCCCUCCACCACAGUCGCCACCGGAUCCCCCCAACUCUCUCUCUCUCUCUCUCCUCUGUUUUCUCCAGUCCAGGGAAGGGAGUCGCCAGCACCCCGCCGCCGCCGGCCACCUCUCCGUCGAUUGGUCCGCCACGCCGCUGGAUCUGCGCUGGAGCGGCCGGAUCCGCCGCUUGCCUGGCCUUGCCGUCUGGAGGAGGACGACGAGAGGAGCGCCUGUUUGUCCGCCGCGUGGGCAACGCAGCUGAUUCGGCCUGGCCACCCGCGAAGCCAUCUGGAACCACAUCAACCCACCUGCCUUGGAGCUCGCCGCCUCCGGCCACCUCUCCAUCGGCCUCCGCCUCGAUCCGUCUGACCCGUCGCCGGAUGCACGCGAGCAGCUAGCUAUUUCGGCUCUCUCUCUCUCUCUCUCUCUCUCUCUCUUUCUCUCUCUCUCUCUCUCAACUCUCUCCUCCUCCAGGAUUAGAGGAUGAAUGGAGCACGCAUGUAUUUUCCUUUUGCUUCCUUAGUCCUUACUCGCCGCUUGCUCUCCUCCCAGCUCUCUGCACAUCGCCUCCUACCAGCCGACCUCGCGUGUGUGCUGCCCGUGGCUUGACACAUUUGCGCCGCCACCUUGCCACCGCCUCGAUGGGCGCCGCCGGCCUCUCCACUUCCCCCGCGCGUGGCUGCCCUCCACCUCCCCGGCUCUGCUCGAAGGAGCCAGUGUGUUUUCCGAAUUAAAAGGACCAUGGGUUGAAUAUAGUAAAAUGUAGGGUUCUUUUUGCAAGAAUGAAGCGUUUUCCUGAACAUCCACUUAAAACAGGACUGCGGGUUAAUUCCCUGUAAACCGAGGGACUUUUGUGCAAAAUUGAUAGCGAUGACGGACGACCAGAAACAGUAGCUGCUUUAUUAUUAUUAUUAUUAUAUUAUUAUUAUAUUAUUAUUAUUAUAUAUAUUAUAUUAUAUAUAUAUAUUAUAUAGGGAAUAUAUAUAUAUAUAUAUAUAUAUAUCAGUUAAGCUUUAAGUGCGUACUUGUUAGUUAAAUCUAUGUAAAAUUAUGACACUAAAUACGACUAGUAAGUACUUCAGUACAGUAGCAAUACUAGUAUACGUCGGUUAAAUUAUUCAUCAUGUCUACACAUUGAAUUAACGUGACAAUACGUUGCGCAUGAGGUGACAUAAGAAUCCCGGCGGCGUGUUCGGAUAUUCUGGACUUCAGAUUUGAAGUACCACUUAUCUGUCGAAAUCUUUCAUCAUUCACUUAAAACAGUCGAUUGAUCAUACAUUGAGUACCAUAUAACUGGAAUUACCGAUGCAAGUCGAAGAAGGAUUGGCCGGUGCUGCCGGCUGGUGUCAAGUUCGAUCCCACGGAUCAGGAGCUGAUCGAGCACCUUGAGGCCAAAGUGAGUGCUGACAACGCGAGAUUUCAGUCUCUCAUCGAUUUGUUCAUACCAACCAUCGACAGCGAGCAUGGCAUAUGCUACACCCAACCUGAGAAACUUCCAGAUAAGACACCUAUCGGCCGUCUACUUGCACAAACAUAUUCCUUUGUUUAUAGCUAUAUUUUUCUUUUUAGACGCAGACCUGGUGAAUCAAUUACAAUUUGACAGUUAAUAAAAAGUGAAACAAAUGACUACAACAUGCCAAAAAUGUUAUGAAAAUGCCAACUAGGUACACUAAAACCUGUAUUCAACAAUACUGCAGGUAUCACACUGAGUGGUCUAAGGAAGCAUUUCUUCCAGCGCAAUUCCAGGGAGUUCAAAAGGGGCACGUGGACGCGUCGCAAGAUACAGUCGGAGUGCGGAAUGCACGCGAUGUGGUACAAGACCGACAAUACCUUGCCGGUGAUGGUCAACAGCCGGCAGACGGGCAACAAAAAAGGUUAUGAUGCUGCACACCAACAAGAACUUCGACCAACAGAGGACAAACUGGGUGAUGCACCAGUACCACCUCGGGGACCUGUGGCAAGAGAAGGAGCAGGAGCUGGUCCUCUGCAAGAUUUUCUACCCGACGAACACUAGGGCCAGGAGUAAAAUGAUUAUAAGUUAGUUUGGUAUUGGUAGUUGUACUACCUUGUUAUCCGCAAGUUGGUAUUGUUGUUAACGAUCUUUUGGUAUGAACUUGCAUUUGCUUUCAACCAUCAUGCCGAGGGUCGACGUGGAUAUAAAGCUGAAUCAUUUGUUUCGAAACGAAUUUUCAGGCACCUGGUUUUUAUUUGAUGGGUAGCAUAAGCACCCGCCGAAUUCCCAGUUCUCUAAUUUUCUCGAAACAAGUGCAUGCACUUAUUAUCACGAUAAAAAAACAAUAUCCGUGUUGCAUCCCAGUUAUCAGUCUGUACUUGCAGAAUUCUCUCAUUUAUUGAGCACGUAUAUUGUUUUUUCAGGUCGAGCAAGUUUCAACUGGGAUGUAGACUGCCUAGGGUUGGUUUUGUUUUUAACAGACUCAACCCAUGACGACAAUGGGGCACAAAGAUCCAGCAGGUAUCUACUGGCCUCUGGCCCACCAUCGUUAGUUAUAUUUUGUCUUACAACAUCCGCAGGCAGUUUUUUUUACUCAAUCAAACACACAGCCCAGUUCUAUUAUCCUCUUGAAACGCAUGUCCUACAUCUGUUCUCUAAUCUCUACCUAUAGUUUUACUAGUUCAUAUACACGUAUCAUUAUAUUGAAAUCACAUAAAAUUCCCUUUUCAUAUUUACAUCCUUAUUUUUAUUGUUUUUUCCCACCCAGCGCUGACUUUUUUACCAGUGGUUUUCCCUUAAACCAACUCAAUUGUCCCACAUCUUAUUUGCUUAUAAAAACAAAACGAUUUUUUGGCAAAUCAAUAAGUUCUUAAAAAAAUGUUUAUCAUUUUGGGAUUACAACAGUUCGGACUCCACCAAAAUAUGCAAAAUAAGGUUGAACUUUUUAACCGUGGUCCUGGGCAGAAAAUGGGUUGUAAUAAAUUACUUAAGAAUUAGCAAAUGGGCUGCAAAUUAUAAAAAAUAGUAAAUGGGCUUUAUGUUGUCUGCCACAGAUUUGGAGGCUGACUUGUGGGCCUACUAAGUUCAUGCGUACACAAGGUUUCUCAAAAAAGAAACUUAGUCAACAAUCAACUCUACCAGCUCAGACCGUUAGAUGUCAAUCCAACGGCAAUCGUGCUUCUUCAGUUUCUGAUCUUCCUGCCCCAGCUGCCCAAACCAGCGCCGUCGGAACCGCCUGCUCCCGCCUCCCGUGGCCGGCAGUGCUGCCGGGCAGGCCUCAUGGCCCCAUCAUACUCGCAUCCCUGGCCUGUCUAUCCCUCUACUCACCCACACCUCCUAUUAUGUUCCGGCGACGACAGCCGAACCAGUCAACCCUCGUACUCUCCACCGCGUGGGCAGCCAUUGUCGUGUCUUCUCCGGCUUCGUGUCGUUCCUUUCGUAGGCCUCGCCGUCGUCCACCGCCCUGGUGCUCUCGGCGCGGCGUGGGCAACGAUGUCCAUCCAACGGCCGUAGUGCUUCUUCAACCUAUGGUCUUCUUGCCCCAGCCGCCCAAAGCAGCGCCGGUCGUGACGCAUGCUCCUGCCUCCCAUGGCCGGCUGUGCUGCCGCGGAGGCCUCACCGUCUCCAUACUACUCCCACCACUGGCCAGGCCAUCCCUCCACCCACCCACUCCUCCUGUUAUUCUGCGGCGACGGCAGCCUCAUACCGCAGCCGAACCAGUGAACCCUCGUACUCCUCUCUGCGUGGGCAUCCACUGUCGCGUCUUCCCCGGCUCUGCGUUGUCCCCUUCCUAGGCCUCGCCGUCAUCCACCGCCGUGGUGCUCUCGGCGCGGCGUGGUCAAUGUGGUCAACGACCGGCUUCCAUCGGAAGAGUACUGUACGUGGAGAGGCUGACAGCUGGGUCCACGACAGCCGCAAGGAAGUGCCUCCUUAUUAUGCGCAAAAUAAUUAUUCCUCCACCUGAUAGUAGGGACCCACCAGACGGGCCACCAGUAUUUCGCAGAAAAAACGUUUCCCCCUGACUGCUGGGACCCACCGGACGAGCCAUCGUAUUUCGCCAAAAAAAGUUUGCCCCUGACUGCUGGGACCCACCAGACGGACCACCGUAUUUCGUGAAAAAAACGUUCCCCCCGCUGUCAGCUUGGACCCACCGGAAGUGCCUCCUUAUUACGCACAAAAAAAUGAAUACCCCCCUGCUAGCUGGGACCCACCAUGAUGGGAGGCUGACUUGUGGGCCUACUAAGUUGACGGGGACGGAGGGCUUUAUCAACUUAGUCAAUAUGAACGAUUCUAGCUCCAGUGACCGUAUGAUGUCCAUCGAACGGCCGCCGUGCUUCUUCAAUCUCUGCUCUUCCUGCUCCAGCCACUCAAACAAGCGCCGGCGGGACUGCUUGCUCCCUCCUCCCCGCGGCCGACUGUGCUGCCGCGCUGGCCUCACCGCCCCACCGUACUCCCAUCGCUGGCCUAGCCAUCCCUCUACUCACCCACACCUGUUGUUAUUCUCUGGCGAUGGCAGACGAACCGGUAAACCCUCGUACAGUCGCACUCCCCUCCGCGUGGGAAACAACUGCCGAGUCUUCCCUGCCUCCGUGUCGUUCCCUUCCUAGGCCUCGCCGUCGUCCACCGCCAUGGUGCUCUCGGCGCGGCCUGGUCAACGUGGUCAACGACCGACAUGCAUCUGAAGUGGACUGUACGUGGAGAGGCCGACAGCUGGGUCCAUGGCCGCACGCAAGGAAAUGCCUCCUUAUUACGCGCAAAAUAAUGAUUCCUCCACCUUACAUCAGGGACCCACCGAAAGGGCCUCUGUAUUUCACGAAAAAACGUUACCGCCGCUGACAGCUCGGACUCACCAGCUAUAUCUUCGCAUGCAAGGAAGUGCCUCCUUAUUACGCACAAAAAAAUGAAUACUCCCCUUGUUAGCUGGGACCCAGUAUAGUGGCAGGCUGACUUGUGGGCCUACUAAGUUGACGGGGACGGAGGGCUUCGUCAACUUAGUCAAUAUGCACGAUUAUAGCUCCAGUGACCGUACGAUGUCCAUCCAACGGCCGUAGUGCUUCUUCAACCUCUGGUCUUCUUGCUCCAGCCGCCCAAACCAGCGCCGGUCGUGCCUCGUGCUCCUGCCUCUCGUGGCCGGCUGCGAUGCGGCGGAGGCCUCACCGCCCCUACUACUCCCACUGCUGGCCAGGCCAUCCCUCUACUCACCCACACCCCAUGUUAUUCUGCGACGACGACAGCCUCACACCGCAGCGAACCAGUGAACCCUUGUACUCCUCUACACGUGGGCAUCCACUGCCGCGUCUUCCCCGGCUCCGCGUCAACCCCUUCCUAGGCCUCGCCGUCGUCCACCGCCCUGGUGCUCUCGGCGCGGCGUGGUCAACAUGGUCAAGAAACGGCUUACAUCAGACGUGGACUGUACGUGGAGAGGCUGACAGCUGGGUCCAUGGCCGCAGCAAGGAAGUGCCUCCUUAUUACGUGCAAAAUAACUAUUCCUCCAACCGACAGCGGGGACCCACCGGACGGGCCACCGUAUUUCACGAAAAAACGUUUGCCCCUAACUGCUGGGACCCACCAGCUACAUCUUCACACGCAAGGAAGUGCGUCCGGGCAAAAAAAAACGAUUCGCCCCCCUGACCGCUGGGACCCACCAGCUACAUCUUCGCACGCAAGGAAGUGCGUCCGGACAAAAAAAACGAUUCGCCCCCCUGACUGCUGGGGCCCACCAGCUACAUCUUCGCAGGCAAGGAAGUGCCUAACAGUCGGGACCCACCUGGUCGAAGCGUACGUAGCGUUGUCAUUCUGGUCGCGAACGUGUACGUACAUAUAUACUGGUGGAUGUGGAGGCGCGCAUGUGUCGUAGUAGAGGCGCACACGUAGCAUGUACACGUACGUACAUCGGCCAUGGUGCAAGAAAGAAAGUACGGCCACGUAUGUGUACAUACGGGCGGGGUCUCGAACGCCUACUCGUGCAAACGUACGGCCAGGGCUCGUGUACAUGGCUGGGUCGAAACGGAGAAACAACAUCGUCGUCGUCGUGUUCAUGGGGAGGCAGCAUCGUCGUUGUGUUCAAGGGGAGGCAACGGAAUGCGUCGUGUUCAUGGGGAGGCAACGGAAUGCGUCGUGUUCAUCAGGAGGCAAUGGAACGCGUGGGAGCCAACCGGCUGGGUUGGAACGGAAUGCGUGGUCGUGUUCAUCGGGGGAGGGCUUGGACGGCACAGGCGAUGGAAACGAGGCCUGGCGUACCGCACAACAAAGGAAACAGACCUCCUACGUUCGGAAUGGGGUCCUGUUGAUCGGGAGGGAUCCGGCGUACCACAAAACGGAGGAAACGGACCUCCUACGGUCGAAACGGGGGUCCUGUUGAUCGGGAGGGGUGUGGCAUACCGCAAAACGGACGAAACGGACUUGUGUUGGAGCGCUACGGUCGAAACGGGGGUCCUGUUCAUCGGGAGGGGUGUGGCGUACCGCGAAACGGGACUCCACGGGAUACUGUUCAUCUCCACCGUUGACCUCCUCCAGCCUCCACGGGCUACCGUCGAACUCCUCCAGCCUCCACGGGCUCCUGUUCAUCCAACCUCCACCGCGCGCUACUCCACCGACUACUGUUCAACCACCCCUCCACGGGCACCCCUCCACCGUCUACUGCUCAUCCAGCCCUCCACACCACGGGGUCCUGUUCAACCAUCCCUCCACGGGCACCNNNNNNNNNNNNNNNNNNNNNNNNNNNNNNNNNNNNNNNNNNNNNNNNNNNNNNNNNNNNNNNNNNNNNNNNNNNNNNNNNNNNNNNNNNNNNNNNNNNNNNNNNNNNNNNNNNNNNNNNNNNNNNNNNNNNNNNNNNNNNNNNNNNNNNNNNNNNNNNNNNNNNNNNNNNNNNNNNNNNNNNNNNNNNNNNNNNNNNNNNNNNNNNNNNNNNNNNNNNNNNNNNNNNNNNNNNNNNNNNNNNNNNNNNNNNNNNNNNNNNNNNNNNNNNNNNNNNNNNNNNNNNNNNNNNNNNNNNNNUGUUCGGCCCAGAGGCAGCAUAGAUCGGCUUCAGUUAGCAGCAGUAGCGAUGGAAUCCCUCGAUCGGGUUCAGUUAACAUCCAUCGAUCAAUCGCUCGGGUUCAGUAACGCGUAGCCUGCAGUGCAAUCGCUCGGGUUCAGUUAGAGCCCAACGCCUCGCUCGGGUUCAGUUAGAGCCAACGCCUCGCACACAUGCGCAUACGUGUAUGAGAGAAACGCGCAUCGCUUGGCCCCCGGCCUCCCACCGUAACCUGGAACUCUCCGAAAUUUUCCUCCCCCUCGCUUCUACCAUGGUUUUUUCCGUCAUGGACGGCCCAAAGAAUGUCAUGCAGCUGCGUCUCCGGCCCGCCCAGGACGAAAAGCCCAGUUUCUGUCAUGAUUUUUUGUCAUAGAAGUAGGAGCCCACCACAUCUAUGAUGAUACUGGGUUUUGUCACAAUUAUCGUCAUAGAAGUGUCAUAUGUAUGACAGAAUUUUUUUUCAUUCGGCCCAAAAUGUCACAUAUGUGUCUUUUUUUAGUGUUGGUUGUAGAUGCUCCUAGGUGUGUACAAUCCCUCUUGUAGUUGGCGCUACGGAUCCCUCCUGUUUGGAUGUAGAUGCUGAAUCUAGCUCAUAGUUUGUGUGACUCUAUAAAAAUCAGUGUAAUCACAACUAAUUAAUGUGGUUACACUGUGUUCCAGUCUCUGAAACUCAUGUGUUUUUAUUAGAAAUCCAGUGUAAUUUCAAUAAAAUUUGUAUUGUAAGUGCAAUGUAUGUUUCAAUGAAUUUUCAAUAUAAUUAUUGCGGGCAUUUUCAGUGGAAUUACACUGCUUUUGAAUUAUAAUUACAGUGUCAAUUUUAGUGUAAUUGUUGGGAAAUGUAGCAUGCAAUUUCAAAAAAAUUCCUACGCUCACGCAAGAUCUAUCUAGGAUAUGCAUAGAAACGAGAGGGGGAGAGUGUGUCCACGUACCCUCGUAAACCGAAAGCGGAAGCAAUUGAUAACGCGGUUGAUGUAGUCAAACUUCUUCUCAUUCUGACCAAUCAAGCACCGAACGUACGACACCUCCGAGUUCUACACACGUUCAGCUUGAUGACGUCCCUCCAACUCUUGAUCCAGCAAAGUGUCAAGGGAGAGUUCCUUCAGCACGACGACGUGGUGACGGUGAUGGUGAAGUGAUCCGCACAGGGCUUCGCCUAAGCACUACGAAGAUAUGAUUGAAGGCGUAAACUGUGGAGGGGGAUGCCGCAUGCGGCUAACAAUUGUUGGUGUGUGGUCUAGGCGCCCCCUCCCCACGUAUAUAUAGGUGGGAGGGGGAGGGUAGCUGUCAUGGGGCGCCCCAAGUAGGAGGAAUCCUACUUGGGCCCCUAUUCCAAUUCACGCCCCCUUUCCUUAUUACCGGAAGGGGGAAAAGGGAAGAGAGGGGGAGGAAGGAAAGGGGGGGCGAACCCCCUCCUCCUUCUCCUAUUCGGCCUCCUUCCUUAGGGGGGUGCACCACCCCUUGUGGGCUGGUGUGCUCCCCUCCUAUCGCCCAUAAGGCCCAUUAAUCCCUGGGGGGGGUCAGAUAACCCCCCGGUACCCCGAUAUGUACCUGGUACAUCCCAAAACACUUUCGGUGUCCAAAUAUCAUCGUCCUAUAUAUGAAUCUUUACCUCUCGACCAUUUCGAGACUCCUCGUCAUGUCCGUGAUCUCAUCUGGAACUUCGAACAAUAUCCGGUCACCAAAUCACAUAACUCAUAUAAUACAAAAUCGUCAUCGAACGUUAAGUGUGUGGACCCUACGGGUUCGAGAACUAUGUAGACAUGACCGAUACACCUCUCCGGUAAAUAACCAAUAGCAAAACCCGGAUGCUCAUAUUGGUUCUCGCAUAUUCUACGAAGAUCUUUAUCGGUCGUAUCGUAAUGACAACAUACGUGAUUCCCUUUGUCAUCGGUAUGUUACUUGCCCGAGACUCGAUCGUCGGCAUCUUCAUACCUAGUUCAAUCUCGUCACCGGCAAGUCUCUUUACUCGUUCCGUAAUACAUCAUUUCGCAACUAACUCAUUAGUCACAUUGCAUGCAAGGCUUCUUAUGAUGUGUAUUACCGAGAGGGCCCAGAGAUACCUCUCCGAUACCCAGAGUGACAAAUCCUAAUCUCGAUUUAUGCCAACCCAACAAACACUUUCGGAGAUACCUGUAGAGCAUCUUUGUAAUCACUCAGUUACGUUGUGACGUUUGAUAGCACAUAAGGCAUUCCUCCGGUAUCCGGGAGUUGCAUAAUCUCAUAGUCGAAGAAGUAUGUAUUUGACAUGAAGAAAGCAAUAACAAUAAAACUGAACGAUCAAUAUGCUAAGCUAACACAUGGGUCUUGUCCAUCACAUCAUUCUCCUAAUGAUGUGAUCUCGUUCAUCAAAUGACAACACAUGUCUAUGGUUAGGAAACUUGACCAUCUUUGAUUAACGAGCUAGUCUAGUAGAGGCUUACUAGGGACAUGGUGUUUUGUCUAUGUAUCCACACAUGUAUUAAGUUUCCGGUUAAUACAAUUCUAGCAUGAAUAAUAAACAGUUAUCAUGAUAUAAGCAAAUAUAAAAUAACAACUUUAUUAUUGCCUCCAGGGCAUAUUUCCUUCAGUCUCCCACUUACACUAGAGUCAAUAAUCUAGUUCACAUCGUCAUGUGAUUAACACCAAUAGUUCACAUCGCCAUGUGAUUAACACCCAUUGUUCACAUCGCCAUGUGACCAACACCCAAAGGGUUUACUAGAGUCAAUAAUCUAGUUCACAUCAUCAUGUGAUUAAUACCCAAAGAGUACUAAGGUGUGAUCAUGUUUUGCUUAUGAGAGAGGUUUAGUCAACGGGUCUGCCAUACUCAGAUUCGUAUGUAUUUUGCAAAUUUCUAUGUCUACAUUACUUUGCACGGAGCUACUCUAGCUAAUUGCUCCCACUUUCAAUAUGUAUCCAGAUUGAGACUCAGAGUCAUUCAGAUCAGUGUUAAAGCUUGUAUCGAUGUAACUCUUUACGACGAACUCCUUAUCACCUCCAUAACCGAGAAAUAUCUCCUUAGUCCUCUUUAGGUACCAAAAGAUAAUUUUUGACCGUUGUCCAGUGAUCUUCUCCUGGAUCACUAUUGUGCCCCCUUGCCAAACUCGUGGCAAGGCACACAACAGGUCUGGUAUACAGCAUGGCAUACUUUAUAGAACCUAUGACUGAGGCAUAGGGAAUGACUUUCAUUCUGCCAUGGCCGGGUUUUGAGUCUUACUCAACUUCACACCUUGCAACACAGGCAAGAACCCUUUCUUUGACUGAUCCAUUUUGAACUUCCUCGAAAUCUUGUCAAGGUAUGUGCUUUAUGAAAGUCCUAUUAAGCGUCUCGAUCUAACCCUAUAGAUCUUGAUUCCCAAUAUAUAAGUAGCUUCACCGAGGUCUUUCAUUGGAAAAUUCUUAUUCAAGUGUCCUUUUAUGCUAUCCAGAAAAUUCUAUAUCAUUUCCAAUUGAUAAUAUGUCAUCCACAUAUAAUAUCAGAAAUGUUAUAGAGCUCCCACUCACUUUCUUGUAAAUACAGGCUUCUUCGUAAGUCUGUAUAAAACAUAUGCUUUGAUCACCUCGUCAAAGCGUAUAUUCCAACUCCGAGAUGCUUGCACCAGUCCAAAGAUGGAUCACUAGAGCUUGCACACUUUGUUAGCACCUUUCAGAUUGACAAAACCUUCUGGUUGCAUCAUAUACAACUCUUCUUUGAGAUAUCCAUUAAGGAAUGCAGUUUUGACAUCCAUUUGCCAGAUUUCAUAAAAAUGCGGCGAUUACUAACAUGAUUCGGAGUGACUUAAGCAUCACUAUGGGUGAGAACGUCUUAUCAUAGUCAACCCCUUGAACUUGUCGAAAACCUUUUGCGACAAGUCAAGCUUGGUAGAUAGUAAGAAUACCAUCAGUGUCAAUCUUCUUAUUGAAAAUCCAUUUAUUCUCUAUGGCUUGCCGAUCAUUGGGCAAGUGAACCAAAGUCCACACUUUGUUCUCAUACAUGGAUCCUAUCUCAGAUUUCAUGGCCUCAAGCCGUUUAUCAGAAUCUGGGCUCAUCAUAGCUUCUUCAUAGUUCGUAGGUUUGUCAUGGUCUAGUAACAUGACUUCUAGAACAGGGUUACCCUACCACUCUGGUGCGGAACAUGCUCUGUUUGACCUACGAGGUCCUGUAGUAACUUGAUCUGAAGUUUCAUGAUCAUCAUCAUUAGCUUCCUCUCUAGUUGGUGUAGGCAUCAUGGGAAUGGAUUUCUCUGAUGGGCUACUUUCCAAUCUGAGAGAAGGUACAAUUACCUCAUCAAGUUCUACUUUCCUCCCACUCACUUCUUUUGAGAGAAUCUCCUUCUCUAGAAAGGAUCCAACUUGGCAACAAAGAUCUUGCAUUUGGAUCUGUGAUAGAAGGUGUACCCAAUGGUUUCCUUGGGGUAUUCUAUGAAAACGCACUUCUCCGCUUUGGGUUCGAGCUUAUCAGGCUGAAAAACCUUUUGACAUAAGCAUCGCUUCCCCAAACUUUUAAGAAAUGAAAGCGUAUGUUUCUUGCCAAACCAUGGUUCAUAUGGUGUCAUCUCAACGGGUUUAGACGAUGCCCUAUUUAACGUGAAUGCGGCUAUCUCUACUGCAUAACCCAAAAACAAUAGUGGUAAAUCAGUAAGAGACAUCAUAUAACGCACCAUAUCCAAUAAAGUGCAAUUACGACAUUCAAACACACCAUUAUGUUGUGGUGUUCCAGGUGGCAUGAGUUGUGACACAAUUCGACAUUGUUUUAAAUGAAGGCCAAACUCGUAACUCAAAUAUUCGUCUCCGCGAUCGGAUCGUAGAAACCUUUUUCUUGUUACAAUGAUUCUCAACUUCACUCUGGAAUUCUUUGAACCUUUAAAAUGUUUCAGAUUUUUGUUUCAUCAAGCAGAUAUACCCAUCUCUACACAAAUCAUCUGUGAAGGUGAAAAAUAACGAUACCCGCCGCGUGCUUCAACACUCAUCAGACCAUAUACAUCGGUAUGUAGUAUUUCCAAUAAGUCAUUAGCUCGCUCCAUUGUUCUGGAAAACGGAGUUCUAGUCAUCUUGCCCAUGAGGCAUGGUUCACAAGUAUCAAAUGAUUCAUAAUCAAGUGAUUCCAAAAGUCCAUCAGCAUGGAGCUUCUUCAUGCGCUUUACACCAAUAUGACCUAAACGGCAGUGCCAUAAAUAUGUUGCACUAUCAUUAUCAACUUUGCAUCUUUUGGCAUCAAUAUUAUGAAUAUGUGUAUCACCACAAUCGAGAUUUAAUAAAAAAUAGACCACUCUUCAAGGGUGCAUGACCAUAGAAGGUUUUAUUCAUGUACACAGAACAACAAUUAUUCUCUGAGUUAAAUGAAUAAGCGUAUUGCAAUAAACAUGAUCCAAUCAUAUUCAUGCUCAACACAAACACCAAAUAACAUUUAUUUAGGUCCAACACUAAUCCCGAAGGUAGAGGGAGUGUGCGAUGGUGAUCUUAUCAACCUUGGAAUCACUUCCAACAUACAUUGUCACCUCGCCUUUAACUAGUCUUUGUUCAUUUUGCAACUCCUGUUUUGAGUUACUAAUCUUAGCAACUGAACCGGUAUCAAAUACCCUAGGGUUACUAUGAACACUAGUAAAGUACACAUCAAUAACAUGUAUAUCAAAUAACCAUUGUUCACUUUGCCAUCCUUCUUAUCCGCCAAGUAUUUGGGGUAGUUCCGCUUCCAGUGACCAUUGCCAUUGUAGUAGAAGCACUCAGUUUCAUGCUUAGGUCUAGCUUUGGGCUUCUUCACAGGAGUAGCAACUUGCUUGUCAUUUUUCUUCAAGUUCCCUUUAUUUUUCUUUUCUUGAAGUUCCCUUUCUUUUCCUUUGCCCUUUUUCUUGAAACUAGUGGUCUAGAUUUGGGCUCUUUCCUGAUUUCUACCUUUGCCGAUUUCAGCAUCGCGAAGAUCUCGGGAAUCUUUUUCGUCAUCCCUUGCAUAUUAUAGUUCAUCAUGAAGUUCUAGUAGCUUGGUGGUAGUGACUAGAGAACUCUGUCAAUCACUAUUUUAUCUGGAAGAUUAACUCCCACUUGAUUCAAGCGAUUGUACUACCCAGACAUUCUGAGUACAUGCUCACUGGCUGAGCCAUUCUCCUCCAUCUUGUAGGCAAAGUACUUGUCAGAGGUCUCAUACCUCUCGACAUGGGCAUGGCACACUAAACUAUUAAGUAGUCAACAUAUUGAGCUUGCCAAACAUUCAUAGCAUCUGCAUCUGCUCCUGUAAUAGGUCUGUCACCCAGUGCUACCUCUUGAGCACUGUGUUGGUUUCCCUUGAAGAGGAAAGGGUGAAGUAGUAAAGCAGCAUAAGUAUUUCCCUCAGUUUUUGAGAACCAAAGUAUCAAUCCAGUAGGAGACCACGCGCGAGUCACCUCAUACCUACGUAAACAAAUAAGAACCUCACAACUAACGCGAUAAAGGGGUUGUCGAUCCCUUCACGGCCACUUGCAAGAGUGAGAUCUGAUAGAGAUAAUAAUAAUAAUAAGAUAAAUAUUUUUGGUAUUUUUAUGAUAUAGAUUGAAAGUAAAGAUUGCAAAAUAAAAUCGAUUAGAAACUUGUAUGAUGGAAAAUAGACCCGGGGGCCAUAGGUUUCACUAGUGGCUUCUCUCAAGAUAGCAUAAGUAUUACGGUGGGUGAACAAAUUACUGUCGAGCAAUUGAUAGAAAAGCGAAUAAUUAUGAGAAUAUCUAGGCAUGAUCAUGUAUAUAGGCAUCACGUCCACGACAAGUAGACCGAAACGAUUCUGCAUCUGCUACUAUUACUCCACACAUCGACCGCUAUCCAGCAUGCAUCUAGAGUAUUAAGUUCAUAAGAACGGAGUAAUGCCUUAAGCAAGAUGACAUGAUGUAGAGGGAUAAACGCAUGCAAUAUGAUAUAAACCCCAUCCUUUUUAUCCUCGAUGCAAACAAUACAAUACGUAUCAUUUCCCCUAUUGUCACUGGGAUCGAGCACCGCAAGAUUGAACCCAAAGCUAAGCACUUCUCCCAUUGCAAGAAAGAUUAAUCUAGUAGGCCAAACCAAACUGAUAAUUCGAAGAGACUUGCAAAGAUAAACCAAUCAUACAUAAAAGAAUUCAGAGAAGAAUCAAAUAUUGUUCAUAGAUAAUCUGGAUCAUAAACCCACAAUUCAUCAGAUCUCGACAAACACACCGCAAAACAAGAUUACAUCGAAUAGAUCUCCAAGAGAAUCGAGGAGAACUUUAUAUUGAGAUCCAAAGAGAGAGAAGAAGCCAUCUAGCUACUAUCUAUGGACCCGAAGGUCUGAAGUAAACUACUCACACAUCACCGGAGAGGCCAUGGAGUUGAUGUAGAGGCCUUCCAUGAUCAAUGCCCCCUCCGGCGGAUCUCCGGAAAAGGCCCCAAGAUGGAUCUCUCGGGUACAGAAGGUUGCGGCGGUGGAAUUAGGUUUUUGUGGUACUCCUGGAUGUUUGGGGGUACGUGGAUAUAUAUAGGAGGAAGAAGUACGUCGGUGGAGCAACGAGGGGCCCAUGAGGGUGGAGGGCGCGCCCAGGGGGGUGGGCGCGCCCCCCUGCCUUGUGGCCUCCUCGAUUGUUUCUUGACGCCCACUCCAAGUCUCCUGGAUAACGUUCGUUGAGAAAAUCACAUUCUCGAAGGUUUCAUUCCGUUUGGACAUCGGUUGAUAUUCCUUUUCGGCGAAACUCUAAAAUAGGCAAAAAAACAGCAAUUUGGGCUGGGCCUCCGGUUAGUAGGUUAGUCCCAAAAAUGAUAUAAAAGUGUAAAAUAAUGCCCAUUAACAUACAAAAUAGAUAAUAUAACAGCAUGGAGCAAUCAAAAAUUAUAGAUACGUUGCAGACGUAUCAAGCAUCCCCAAGCUUAAUUCCUGCUCGUCCUCGAGUAGGGAAAUGAUAAAAAAGAAUUUUUGAUGUGGAAUGCUUUCUAACAUAUUUCUCAAUGUAAUUUUUCUUUAUUGUAGCAUGAAUGUUCAGAUCCGAAAGAUUCAAGAUAAAAGUUCAAUAUUGAUAUAAAACAAUAAUACUUCAAGCAUACUAACUAAGCAAUCAUGUCUUCUCAAAAUAACAUGGUCAAAGAAAGUCAUCCCUACAAAAUCAUAUAGUCUAGCUAUGCUCUAUCUUCACCACACAAAAUAUUUAAAUCAUGCACAACCCCGAUGGCAAGCCAAGAAAUUGUUUCAUACUUUUGAUGUUCUCAAACUUCUUGAAUCUUCACGCAAUAUAUCAGCGUGAGCCAUGGAUAUAGCACUAUAUGUGGAAUAGAAUGGUGGUUGUGGAGAAGACAAAAAGGAGAAGAUAGUCUCACAUCAACUAGGCGUAUCAACGGGCUAUGGAGAUGCCCAUCAAUAGAUAUCAACGUGAGUGAGUAGGGAUUGCAUGCAACGGAUGCACUAGAGCUAUAAGUGUAUGAAAGCUCAACAAAAGAACUAAGUGGGUGUGCAUCCAACUUGCUUGCUCAUGAAGACCUAGGGCAAUUUUGAGGAGCCCAUCAUUGGAAUAUACAAGCCAAGUUCUAUAAUGUAAAACUCCCACUAGUAUAUAAAAGUGAUAACAUAGGAGACUCUCUAUCAUGAAGAUCAUGGUGCUACUUUGAAGCACAAGUGUGGAAAAAGGAUAUUAACAUUGUCCUUUCUCUUUCUCUCAUUAUUUUUUAUUUGGGCCUUCUUUUUUGGCAUCUUUUCUCCUUUUUUUUUUGUCUGGAGUCUCAUCCUGACUUGUGGGGGAAUCAUAGUCCCCAUCAUCUUUUCCUCACUGGACAAUGCUCUAAUAAUGAUGAUCAUCACACUUUAAUUUACUUACAACUCAAGAGUUACAACUCAAUACUUAGAAAAAUAAUAUGACUCAAUGUGAAUGCCUUCGGCGGUGUACCAGGAUGUGCAAUGAUGCAUGAGUGACAUGUAUGAAGAAUUAUGAACGGUGGCUUUCCAAAAAUACGAUGUCAACUACAUGAUCAUGCAAGCAAUAUGACAAUGAUGAAGCGUGUCAUAAUAACGGAACGGUGGAAAGUUGCAUGACAAUAUAUCUCGGAAUGGCUAUGGAAAUGCCAUAAUAGGUAGGUAUGGUGGCUGUUUUGAGUAAGGUAUAUGGUGGGUUUAUGGUACCGGCGGAAGUUGCGCGAUACUAGAGAGGCUAGAAAUGGUGGAAGGGUGAGAGUGCGUAUAAUCCAUGGACUCAACAUUAGUCAUAAAGAACUCAUAUACUUAUUGCAAAAAUCUAUUAAUUAUCGAAACAAAGUAUUAGGCGCAUGCUCCUAGGGGGAUAUAUUGGUAGGAAAAGACCAUCGCUCGUCCCCGACCGCCAGUCAUAAGGAAGACAAUCAAUAAAUAAAUCAUGCUCCGACUUCAUCACAUAACGGUUCACCAUACGUGCAUGCUACGGGAAUCACAAACUUCAACACAAGUAUUUCUCAAAUUCACAACUACUCAACUAGAAUGACUCUAAUAUCACCAUCUCCAUAUCUCAAAACAAUUAUCAAGUAUCAAACUUCUCAUAGUAUUCAAUGCACUUCUAUGGAAGUUUUUCUAUUAUUCCUAAAAGCAAAUUUCCAUGUUGUUCUAAGGGACUCUCAAAAUAAUAUAAGUGAAUCAUGAGAGAUCAACUAUUUCUAUAAAAUAAAACCACCGCCAUGCUCUAAAAGAUAUAAGUGAAGCACUAGAGCAAAAACUAUAUAGCUCAAAAGAUAUAAGUGAAGCACAUAGAGUAUUCUAAUAAAUUUCAAAUCAUGUGAGUCUCUCUCAAAAGGUGUGUACAGAAAGGAGCAAAGACUCAAAUCAUACAAGACGCUCCAAGCAAAACACAUAUCAUGUGGUGAAUAAAAAUAUAGCUCCAAGUAAAGUUACCGAUAAACGAAGACGAAAGAGGGGAUGCCUUCCGGGGCAUCCCCAAGCUUAGACUUUUUGGUGUCCUUGAAUUUUACCUUGUGGUGCCAUGGGCAUCCCCAAGCUUAGGCCCUUGCCACUCCUUGUUCCAUUAUCCAUCAAAUCUUUACCCAAAACUUGAAAACUUCACAACACAAAACUUUAAUAGAAAAUCUCGUGAGCUCCGUUAGCGAAAGAAAACAAAACUACACUUCAAGGUACUGUAAUAAAAUCAUUAUUUAUUUAUAUUGGUGUUAAACCUACUGUAUUCCAACUUCUUUAUGGUUUAUAAACACUUUUCUAGCCAUAGAUUCAUCAAAAUAAGCAAACAACACACGGAAAAUAGAAUCUGUCAAAAACAGAACAGUCUGUAGUAAUCUUUAGCUAAUGCAAACUUCUGGAACCCCGAAAGUUCUAAAAUAAAUUUCUAGACGUGAGUAAUUUAUGUAUUAAUCAUCUGCAAAAAUAAUUAACUAAAUAGCACUUUCCAAAUAAAAAUGGCAGCAAUUCUCGUGAGCGCUAAAGUUUCUGUUUUUUUACAGCAAGAUCAAAAAGAGUUUCCCCAAGUCUUACCAACGGUUCUACUUGGCACAAACACUAAUUAAACAUAAAAAACACAACCAAAACAGAGGAUAUAUAAAUUAUUUAUUACUAAAUAGGAUAAAAAAGCAAGGAAUAAAAAUAAAAUUGGGUUGCCUCCCAACAAGCGCUAUCGUUUAACGCCCUUAGCUAGGCAUAAAAACAAGGAUAUAUCUAGGUAUUGCCAUCUUUGGUAUUAGGAAAGAAAAGAGAAUAUUUCUUUUCUAUAGCAUUUAUCUUUCUAUUUUGAGAUAGCACGUGGCCAUUAAUGGUGGAAUAAAGAUUAAGCACAUUACGGAAAUUGGCAUCUAAGCUAGCCUUCAUUUCUUUGAUAAUUUCAUUUUGAUAAAAGCACAAAAGAGAGGUAGAUUCAACCUUCUCACACAUGGGGUGCCCAAAUAUAGUUUUCAUCCUUUCAUAAGUAUCAAUAGGACCCCCUCAAGAAAACCUUCUUCAAAGAUAGAAUCUAAAACUUGCUUGAAUGAAGAGGGUAAACCAAUAUAAAAGCUUUUCAGGUAAACCUCAAUUUGAUAUUGGGGAACAUAGCUAGCUCGAAUCCUUAAUAGCCUAUCCCAAGCGUCUUUCAAAGAUUCAUCAAGUAAAUAACAAAAAAUUCCAGGAUCAUCUUCAUCAAAAUUAUUCAAACUCUCAUUGAUAACCUCGGUAGGUCUCUCCAUAGCAUCAUUAUUUAUGAGCUUAGAGAGGACAGAGGGGCUAUCCAAGGUAAAACCCGGGAGAGAACCCUUAGCCCUUUUUGAAUCGGCCAUGGUACAAGAAAACAAAUGAAAAAGAGGCGAAUGAAACGGCAAGGGUGAAGUGGGGGAGAGGAAAACGAGAGGCAAAUGACAAAUAAUGUAAUGCGGAGGAUAAGAGUUGUGAUGGGUACUUGGUAUGUCUUGACUUGGCGUAGAUCUCCCCGGCAACGGUGCGAGAAAUCCUUCUUGCUACCUCUUGAGCACUGAGUUGGUUUUCGCUUGAAGAGGAAAGGGUGAUGCAGUAAAGCAGCGUAAGUAUUUCCCUCAGUUUUUGAGAACCAAGGUAUCAAUCCAGUAGGAGACCACGCGCGGGUCACCUCGUACCUACAUAAACAAAUAAGAACCUCGCAACCAACGCGAUAAAGGGGUUGUCAAUCCCUUCACGGCCACUUGCAAGAGUGAGAUCUGAUAGAGAUAAUAAUAAUAAGAUAAAUAUUUUUGGUAUUUUUAUGAUAUAGAUUGAAAGUAAAUAUUGCAAAAUAAAAUAGAUUAGAAACUUGUAUGAUGGAAAAUAGACCCGGGGGCCAUAGGUUUCACUAGUGGCUUCUCUCAAGAUAGCAUAAGUAUUACGGUGGGUGAACAAAUUACUAUCGAGCAAUUGAUAGAAAAGCGAAUAAUUAUGAGAAUAUCUAGACAUGAUCAUGUAUAUAGGCAUCACGUCCACGACAAGUAGACCGAAACGAUUCUGCAUCUACUACUAUUACUCCACACAUCGACCGAUAUCCAGUAUUCAUCUAGAGUAUUAAGUUCGUAAGAACGGAGUAACGCCUUAAGCAGGAUGACAUGAUGUAGAGGGAUAAACUCAUGCAAUAUGAUAUAAACCCCAUCUCUUUAUCCUCGAUGACAACAAUACAAUACAUGUCGUUUCCCCUACUGUCACUGGGCUCGAGCACCGCAAGAUUAAACCAAAGCUAAGCACUUCUCCCAUUGCAAGAAAGAUCAAUCUAGUAGGCCAAACCAAACUUAUAAUUCGAAGAGACUUGCAAAGAUAAACCAAUCAUACAUAAAAGGAUCCAGAGAAGAAUCAAAUAUUGUUCAUAGAUAAUCUGGAUCAUAAACCCACAAUUCACCGGAUCUCGACAAACACACCGCAAAAGAAGAUUACAUCGAAUAGAUCUCCAAGAGAAUCGAGGAGAACUUUGUAUUGAGAUCCAAAGAGAGAGAAGAAGCCAUCUAGCUACUAGCUAUGGACCCGAAGGUCUGGAGUAAACUACUCACACAUCACCGGAGAGGCCAUGGAGUUGAUGUAGAGGCCCUCCAUGAUCAAUGCCCUCUCCGACGGAGCUCCGGGAAAGGCCCCAAGAUGGGAUCUCUCGGGCACAGAAGGUUGCCAUGAUGGAAUUAGGUUUUUGUGGUGCUCCUAGAUGUUUGGGGGGUAUGCGAAUAUAUAUAGGAGGAAGAAGUAUGUCAGUGGAGCAACGAGGGGCCCACGAGGGUGGAGGGCGCGCCCAGGGGGUGGGCGCACCCCCUGCCUUGUGGCCUCCUCGAUUGUUUCUUAACACCCACCCCAAGUCUCCUGGAUCACGUUCAUUGAGAAAAUCACGUUCCCGAAGGUUUCAUUCCGUUUGGACUCCGUUUGAUAUUCCUUUUCGGUGAAACUCUAAAAUACACAAAAAAACAACAAUUUGGGCUGGGCCUCCGGUUAGUAGGUUAGUCCCAAAAAUGAUAUAAAAGUGUAAAAUAAAGCCCAUGAACAUGCAAAAUAGAUAAUAUAAUAGCAUGGAGCAAUCAAAAAUUAUAGAUACGUUGGAGACGUAUCACCUAGCGAUGCAUCAAGGACAAAAUUCUUCUAUGCGGUAAUGAGGAUAAUCCUCAGAUCACGGACCCAGUCUGCAUCAGUACUAAUAUCAUCUUUCAACUUAGUUUUCUCUAGGAACAUAUCAAAAUAGGAGAGCUACAACACGAGCUAUUGAUCUACAACAUAAUUUGCAAAUACUAUCAGGACUAAGUUAAUGAUAAAUUAAAGUUCAAUUAAUCAAAUUACUUAAGAACUCCCACUUAGAUAGACAUCCCUCGAGUCAUCUAAAUGAUACGUGAUCCAAAUAAACUAAACCAUGUCCGAUCAUCACGUGAGAUCGAGUAGUCAUCAAUGGUGAACAUCUCUAUGUUGAUCAUAUCUACCAUAUGAUUCAAGUUCGACCUUUCGGUCUCCAGUGUUCUGAGGCCAUGUCUGUACAUGCCAGGCUUGUCAAGUUUAACCUGAGUAUUCCACAUGUGCAAAACUGUCUUGCACCCGUUGUAUGUGAACGUAGAGUCUAUCACACCCGAUCAUCACGUGGUGUCUCAACACGACGAAUUGUCGCAAUAGUGCAUACUCGGAGAGAACACUUAUACCUUGAAAUUUUGUUAUGUGAUCAUCUUAUAAUGCUACCGUCGUACUAAGCAAGAUAAGAUGCAUGAAUAUAAACAUCACAUGCAAUCAAAAUAUGUGACAUGAUAUGGCCAUCAUCAUCUUGUGCGUUUGAUCUCCAUCUCCAAAGCAUCAUCAUGAUCUCCAUCGUCACCGGCUCGACACCUUGAUCUCCAUCAUAGCGUCGUGGUCAUCUCAUCAACUAUUGCUUCUACAACUAUUGCUAACGCAUAGUGAUAAAGUAAAGCAAUUACAUGGUGUUUGCAUUUCAUACAAUAAGGAGACAACCAUAAGGCUCCUGCCGGUUGUCAGAUGUCUUACAAGACAUGAUCAUCUCAUACAAUAAUGUUUAUCACAUCAUGUCUUGACCAUAUCACAUCACAACAAGCCCUGCAAAAAUAAGUUAGACGUCCUCUACUUUCUUAUUGCAAGUUUUACGUGGCUGCUACGUGCUUCUAUCAAGAACCGUUCUUACCUACGCAUCAAAACCACAAUGGUGAUUUAUCAAGUUUGUUGUUUUAACCUUCAACAAGGACCAGUCGCAGUCAAAUUCGAUUCAACUAAAGUUGGAGAAAGAGACACCCGCCAGCCACCUUUAUGCAAAACUAGUUGCAUGUCUCUCGAUGGAACCGGUCUCAAGAACGAGGUCAUGUAAAGUUGGCCCGGGCAGCUUCAUCCAACAAUACCACAGAAUCAAAAUAAGACAUUGGUGGUAAGCAGUAUGAUGAUCAUCGCCCACAACUCUUUGUGUUCUACUCGUGCAUAUCAUCUAUGCAUAGACCUGGCUCGGAUGCCACUAUUGGGAAACGUAGCAUGCAAUUUUAGAAAAAAUUCCUACGCUCACAAAAGAUCUAUCGAGGAGAUUCAUAGCAACGACAGGGGGAGAGUGUGUCCACGUACCCUCGUAGACUGAAAGCAGAAGCGUUUGAUAACGCGGUUGAUGUAGUUGAACUUCUUCUCGUUCCGACCGAUCAAGCACCGAACAUACGAAACCUCCGAGUUCUGCACACGUUCAGCUCGAUGACGUCCCUCAAACUCUUGAUCCAGCAAAGUAUCAAGGGAGAGUUUCAUCAGCACGAUGGCAUGGUGAUGGUGUUGGUGAACUGAUCCGCGCAGGGCUUCGCCUAAGCACUACGAAGAUAUGACCGAAGGCGUAAACUGUCGAGGGGGGCGCCGCACAUGGUUAACAAUUGUUGGUGUGUGUUCUAGGCGCCCCCUCCCCACAUAUAUAUAGGUGGGAGGGGGAGGGGAGCUACCAUGGGCCACCCCAAGUAGGAGGAAUCCUACUUGGGCCCCUAGUCCAAUUCGCCCCCUUUCCUUAUUACCGGAAGGGGGAAAGGGGAAGAGAGGGGGAGGAAGGAAAGGGAGGCGAACCCCCUCCUCCUUUUCCUAUUCGGCCUCCUUCCUUAGGGGGGCUCGCCACCCCUUGUGGGCUGGUGUGCUCCCCUCCUAUGGCCCAUAAGGCCCAUUAAUCCCCCGGGGGGUUCCAGUAACCCCCCCAGUACUCUGAUAUGUACCUGACACACCCUGAAACACUUCCGGUGUCCGACUACCAUCGUCCUAUAUAUGCAUCUUUACCUCUCGACCAUUUCGAGACUCCUCGUCAUGUCCGUGAUCUCAUCCGGAACUCCGACAAAUAUUCGGUCACCAAAUCACAUAACUCAUAUAAUACAAAAUCGUCAUUGAACGUUAAGCGUGCAGACCCUACAGGUUUGAGAACUAUAUAUACAUGACCGAGACACCUCUCCGGUCAAUAACCAAUAGAAGAACCUAGAUGCUCAUAUUGAUUCCCACAUAUUCUACGAAGAUCUUUAUCGGUCAUACCAUAAUGACAACAUACGUGAUUCCCUUUGUCAUCGGUAUGUUACUUGCCCAAGACUCGAUCGUCGGCAUCUUCAUACCUAGUUCAAUCUCGUUACCGGCAAGUCUCUUUACUCGUUCCGUAAUACAUAAUUCCGCAACUAACUCAUUAGUCACAUUGCAUGCAAGGCUUCUUAUGAUGUGUAUUACCGAGAGGGCCCAGAGAUACCUCUCCGAUACCCGGAGUGACAAAUCCUAAUCUCCAUUUAUGCCAUCCCAACAAACACUUUCGGAGAUACCUGUAGAGCAUCUUUAUAAUCACCGAGUUAUGUUGUGACGUUUGAUAGCACACAAGGCAUUCCUCCGGUAUCCGAGAGUUGCAUAAUCUCAUAGUCGAAGAAAUAUGUAUUUGACAUGAAGAAAGCAAUAGCAAUAAAACUGAACGAUCAAUAUGCUAAGCUAACAGAUGGGUCUUGUCCAUCACAUCAUUCCCUUAAUGAUGUGGUCUCGUUCAUCAAAUGACAACACAUGUCUAUGGUUAGGAAACUUGACCAUCUUUGAUUAAGGAGCUAGUCUAGUAGAGGCUUACUAGGGACACGGUGUUUUGUCUAUGUAUCCACACAUGGAUCAAGUUUCCGGUUAAUACAAUUCUAGCAUGAAUAAUAAACAUUUAUCAUGAUAUAAAGAAAUUUAAAAUAAAAACUUUAUUAUCUCCUCUAGGGCAUAUUUCCUCCAGUGAUGAUAGUGAGGAUUUUAGAGUUUAUUCUUAGUGGUUUUAUACUGUAAUCUCAGUGGAUUUACAGUGUAAGUUCUUUAGUAAUUUAGGUGAUUUUUCGCAAUGUAAUUCUCAGUGCACUUUCAAUGUAUCCUUAGUGCAUUUUGUAAUGUAAUUCUUUACUGGGUUCAAAGGAUUCUUUGUGGAUUUACAAUGUACGCUUAAGUGGAUUUACACUGUAGUUUUUGGUGGAUUUGCACUGUAAUUUCCAGUGGACUUGCAUUGUAACUCUUGAUUUUUACAGUGUAAUUUUCAAUGGAUUUACAGUGUAGUUUUUAAUGGAUUUAGACUGUAGUUUUUCAGUGGAAUUUUCUCUGUAACUCUUGAUUAUUUCAUUGUAAUAUUUAGUGGAUUUACACUUGAUUUUUAGUGUUUUUUGCACUGUAACUCUUGAUAUUUUUUGAGUGUAAUUUUUGUGGAUUUACACUGUAAUCCUUGGUGCUUUCGAGUAGGGUAGUUUUUUAUCGUUUUGUAAUAUGCAUUUGAGUAGGGGUUGGAUUAUUUAUGUAUUAUAUUGAGUGUAUUUCUUAUUAGAUUUACACUAUAUCUCUCAGUGGACUUACACCAUAAUUUUUAGUGGGUUUUAAAGUGUAAUUCUCCGUGGAUUUACAUUUUAAUCCUUUGAGGUUUUAAUAGUGUAAUUCUUAUUGGAUUUACACUAUAACUCUCAGUGGACUUGCACUAUUUUGUUGAGUGAACAAGUAUACUCCACUCUGUUUUGUUGUCAAGAACCAAUUUAGAAAAGCAUGAUUGAAUCUGUUUUCUUUUCACAGGAUAUGUUCAUGCUAUAAGAGAGAAUACAUUAAGGAACUUAGCUUCAUCAUGUUCGAGGUACAGGUCCUGACCCUUCAGGCUUGUUUCCAUCCCAUUUGAUUCCAUUGCACGCACCUGUAAAUGUGAACAUGUAUAUAAGCAUUGUUCUGUUAAUCUUGAAACGUGUAUUGUCUGCUUGUACAUGUGUUUGCCCCUUUUUGUCAGUUCAUAGGCUUAAUUGAUGUGAACUAAUCAUUUUAUUACUUCAUGUGUUUACUCAUUUGUAUUUACAAACAGUAUUUCGUAGCAAUUUGAACUUCAAGUAGGAAAGAAAGGUCUUUCUAUGUAGUUCCAAAGCUUAUAAAAUCUAUUCCUAGUUUCUUUACUUUCUUGUAGAUGGGUUAUUUCGUAAUCAUGAUCUAAGUUUCUGAUUAGAGUAUAGUUUGUGUGUGCCAAAGUUUCUAGAUUAUAGUCCUAGAUUUAUGAAAAUAUAUCAUUUCUAACAUGUUUGUUCAAGGAUUUUCCUAACAUUUUAUACUCAUUUCCAUGUGUUGUAACUGUUAUUUUCAAUUCAGAAACUUCCUAGUAGUUCUCAAAUUCACAAAUUUAAUAUGGAAUUUUUUCCUAACCUUUAUGUGCCUGCACCCCUAAACACAUAGGAUCCUAGUGUUCUUCCUGGAUCUAGUUUUAAUUUCCUAGUUCUAGUUUAGAGUUCCAGAGUUCAUAUUUUUUGUCCCUACAGUAUGUUAGUGGGUUUAUUUGUCUCUGCAGCAUGUAUAUGUAAUGGUUCACAUUAGCCCUUUUGAUUUCUGAUGUAGAGAGACAGGGGAGAGAGAUCUGUCUAAAUCAUGCUUAGUAUGUGGUGAUUGCAAAGUUGGGGUGUUUACCUGUGUUUCCUCAUCUUCUGCAGUGUGGAUCAUCUUCAGGUUUUUGUCAUAGAUCAUGGACGAAUCGCCCUCUUGGUUGGUGCUUAUUCCUGUCCUCUACAGUGCAUUUUUGUAGUGGAUAUUAUAGUGAAAAUAAUAGUGGAGUUAUUAGUGUAAUUUUAUAGCUCUUCAAUGUAUUUUUUAGUGCUCCAGAGUGUAAUUUGUCAUGUUAUUUUAGGUGUGUGUGAUUAGGUGACAGCAUCCUGGUCCUUUCCUUUUUUUUUCAUUUGCAGAUUUGCUCUAGCUUAGUGCACAUGUACAUGGCAAAGUUUGGCUGUGACUUUGGGUUUUUUUGUGCUCGGUGUUGUUGAUUUUUGUCCAGGCUGGAAGCUGGAUAAGUUGGAAUGUGGACCCAUUAAGAUCAUGAUGCUCGUGUGUUUAAGAGUUGGUGUGUGGACCCGUUUAAGCUCGUG
rnacentral:lncRNA from 1 species